rnacentral:lncRNA from 1 species
UUUUUUUUUUGUGAGGAGAGCAAUUAGUUCAGUAAAGAUGCAACCAGACCUCGAAACUGGCCAAAUCUAAUGAUACUGAAAGUCCUUCCUGUUUAGCAAUCCUAAUAGCUUCAAUAAUCUGUUCCAUGUUCUGUUGUGCAUAUCUCACAACAAGCCACUGCAUCAAAAUAAAUAGCAAUGAAAAUUCAGACUUAACAAAAACAUGUGCUAGGAUGUUUUUUAUAAGAAGAAUAAUAUAUCACGAAACGGAUGUGCACCAAAGAGGGAAAAGGAAAGCACCUUGGAGCCUUUGAAGUCCUCCUCUCUAAACUCAUUGGCCUGUUAGAUGGACAAAUGAUCUCACCAAUCAUAAGAUUGUUAAGAGAUGUAAAUUUAACACUGCAUCAGACAAGGGUAUACCUGCAGCUUGACUGCACUAGAUAGGCAUGGCCGCAUGGUGCGAUUGCCGCUUGCAUCAACCAAGCACGCACACUAUAACAGGUAUGCUUUUCAGCCUUAUCCACUAUGCAGUAAAAUAAGGGCAAAAAAGAUAAAUUCUGGCUUCUGUUAGGCUACCUGAGCGGUGUGCCCUUUUUUGGGCCUUAAUCUUGUGAGAUCUACACCACUAAAACUCAUAUUGUCGACAAACAAAAUGGCCUGGUUAUCAUCUCCACAAGCUCCAAUUAUUCCAGUUGAUAUCCCAAAACCAGCUGAGAGCCCACGGAUUGUGUUGGCAACGCUUCCACCAGCCAUUGUAGUUAUUGGAGUGAGAUCAUUGCGGGAAGGAAGGAUGUGGGCAUUCACUUCAGUAAGAAUAUGAUUCAGCUCCUCAAUGGACACCUGUACAUAAAACUAUUGUCAGAUGAAAUGCAGAACCCAACCCAAUGACACAAAGUUUUGAUUCCCCUUGUAAGCGAUGCCAGGUUAGUUGCAUUAUCUUGAUGCAAAACAACUCAAGGUUCAGAAAAUAUUUCAUAAUGCAAAUGCAACCACAAAAAACAACAAUAAAACACACUGGAUGUGUGAUUCUUCAACAGUUCAACAUCCAUGCGAUAACUAAAAAGGUUGUAGACAGUUUUCAACUAGCAUAACAUAUAUUUCCACUUUUCUUGGUAGCUUUGAUUCCAAAUUUCUUUUAUGUUGCAUUAAAGAAAAAUCUUAUGAUAGAAUGGAAUUGUUCCUGCACAUGUAUGCAUGUGCCUUUUGCUUUGUUUAGAAGCUAAAGCCAAAUGUUGCCUUCUUGGAAUUAUGCUAGUAUGAUGGGAAGGAAAAUGAUAACAUUUCAGCAUGUUCAACUGAAGAAUCUCUGACUGUCAGUUCGUAUAUAAGAGAGUAGGUUGAUUUGAUAGAUAGAGGGACUCUAACCUAUUGCACAUAAUCCAGAAGAUACAGGUACAAAGUAUGACAUUUUAAAAUCUAGGUUGGAAUCUAACUGCUACCAAUUUAUAAUUUCAUCUAUCAAAAAAAAAUGCAUUAUAGACUAUCUUGGGAGCAUACACUACUUCCUUACACAAGGGCAGCAGUCACAUCAUAAAGGUGGCAGGUGCUAAUUAAGAUUCAAGAUCAUUGCAAGUACUACUUUUCUCUCUUGACAAUUACGGGGAACUCCUGUGUGGAGAUCAAAUAUGACAGGGAGAAAAUAAGUAAUUAGAAUUUGACAAGAUGCUGAGCCUGCAAUCAUGUAUCUUUGCAUAGAAAAGUCAAGAAUGUCUGACGACCAUAACUAGCAUGGUGGUUUCUUUCACUACAAACUUUCACUGAGUCUGGGGCAUAAAUAGUUAGGUGCCCGCAGACCAAUCAGUUCAAGAAACGUUAGGCCAUGCUUGACCAUUCCUGAAGUGUGCAGUGCAGAGCAUGCCAAACCAUCAGGCAAGCACUUUCUCAAUGAAAGCAACACCAAAUCUAAUCAAUAUAGCUGCAUUUAACCAAAGCAAAGUAUAGACCACUUCAAAUAUAGGAAAUAUCUGUCUCUACGCCCACCAAAAGUACUUGAACUGUUCUGUUCAAGUACAGGAAGAGUGGAACCAUGUGGAACAAAAGAACAGGCAAUUUCUUGACAAUCCGAGGAGACAUAACAUAAGUCAGUAGGGCAUUCAUUCAUGAAAGCAUGUGUCUUAUAAAAUAUGAAACAAAAUUAGCUGCACAAACCAUUUCAAGAAUAAAGAGUGCAUCAUAAUCAUAAUAUACAAAAUUCGGAAUGAGAUUCAACAAGUUACUUCUGAUGCAGCACUUAGGGUUCUUUUUCUCAGAAAAAAUACAGAGGUCACAAAAUUGAGUACAUUAGAAUAUUGAAGAACAAGAGAUCCAAACGUCACAUGGCCGGCGGACAGCUAGAAAAGGAACAUGGAGGGGACGCCAAUUGAAGCUAGAAUUCGGCCAGUGAUGCAACAGCCUACCUCUAAAUAACCACGUGAUGGCAAAUGAUUCACCCGAAAAUUCAAACAGGAAAAGAAACGGAGGGGACGGGGGAAGAAUUCCGAGGGUGUUGGACCUCGAAACAGGAACGAAUUUCCAACGACGAACAACAUUGCAAACAUCUGGCAAUCAAUACAGCAUAAGUGGUUACUGGCUCCAUCAGACCGGCCCUUGCAGGGUAUAAUUGGGGUUGCGAUUUCAAUUCGCAAAUUGAACGGAAGAGUGCGCUUGGAACUGUCGAAGUGAAUUACAACCAUACGGGCCGCGUUGCGCGCGGAGGGAGAGGGGAGGAGCGCGAAGUACCUGCUGCGAGCCGCCGCGGUCGCCGGGGACGCGGUCGAGGAGGGACCAGUCGACGCGGGCGACGUGGUCGAUCAGCGCCGAGAGCUGGAGCCCCAGCACCGCGGGCGCCGCCGCCGCCGCCGCCUCCCAGCCGGGCCGGAGGGAGGACGGAGGCUGCUGCGGGUGCUCUGCCUCGGCGCCCAUAUGGGUCGGUCCAGGUGAAUUGGCCGGUCUCCCUCCGCUGGCCCUCUCCUCGAGCGGAGGAGGAGGAGGAAACGGUCGCCGGCGCCGGCGGUGCGGGGGGCUGCUGGGCCCGUGUCGGGAGCAGAUGGGAUUGCAAAGCCUCCAAGGGGAGGGCUUCUUCGCCGCCGUUUUAUAGGAGGUGGAAGAGGGGGCAACCUUCUUCGGCACUGUUCAUCACUGCCCUUGCACGGAUCUCGAUGCAUCUUGCUCGAUUACGUGGAUUAUUGUCUCCGUCAUUAAUCACCUCAUUAUUAUUAUUAUUGACUUAUUUUCGAUGGGUGAUGCAUGGAGUAUGUACCACUACCACACCACGACUUACACAACCGCGCCGGCGCACCUACUGUAUAACAUGAGUCUAUUUUAAGAAAACGUUUCAUGGAUUAUUUUUAAAAAACAUGGAUUAUUUAUUCAUGUGUAUGUCAAAUUAUGGGCACCGAGAUUCAAACCAAAAACAUUCCAAUCAUUUCAUGAUGAUUUUAUUGUGUCUCAAGGAGUUACGUGUCUCAGAUAGACGACAUAGUACUGGGUCAUGCCUAUCCACUAUGGAUUAAACCCUAUAUGACUCUUUGUGUGUCUCAUUAAUCACUAGUAUGGUUAUUUAUCUACAUAAUAGAUGAUGUACCCAUCGGCAAAAGACUGGACUAUGUGUUUUAUGAAAUUUUACCAAAAUACAAUGAUCUACCACCCCAUUGAUGUUUAAGUCUUUAUAUGGAAUGAUACUUUGGUGUUAUAUUGACGGAUGCCCACUUCAAAAGAAUCUUUGGCUCUGCUCCUGUAGCGAAGUGAUUCCAGUGACUUCGUCUAGUCUCUCGUAAGCAUUUGUAUGAGUAAGCAUUUGUAUGAGUAGGGUACAUUAAUGAAAUAUAAAGUACGUACCCUCUCUGUUCCAAAUUAUAAGUUAUUUUUAUUUUUUUAAAAUUUAUAGAUUUUGCUAUGCACCUAUAUAUAUAUUGUGCUUUGAUAUAAACAUAUAAAACCUAAAAUGAUCUAUAAUUUAGGAUAAAAGGAGCACCUAGGAUUCGAUACCUAGUGAGUAGAAGGUACAGUCAACUCCGCUAGCCAUGCAAAGCAACACUUGACUCUUCCAUAUUUCUGAAUUAUAAUUGUAUGAAAUUAUGUGGCUAGGUACAGAUCCAUCCAUGGCUUCUCCAAUUAUACAUUUUGUGCAAGUGUGCAUACAAUUCGUGAUUGCGGGUUAUGGCCUAGGAACCACCUUUUUCACCCUGCGGGUAAAUGACGAUAGUAAGACUGCACUGGUCAAAGUUUAAAACCGUCACUAAAUUGGUACAGAUAUAUGGAACGUAUAUGAUGCAAACCAUCUAUCCCGUGCAGCCUUGGAAACUAUGAAUCAAGAUCACAAGAUGCUAAUCCAAUGGAUAGGAUUAGUAGUGGGGUUAUUUUGCAGUUAAGCCCCUUCACCCGCUGGCCACUUUUGAUGCAGCACCUUUUCCAUGAUAUGCAAAAUUAAACCUAAUUAAUUCAUAAUUAGCACAUGUUUACUGUAGCAUCACAUGGGCUAAUCAUGAACUAAUUAAGCUUAAUAGAUUCAUCUCAUGAAUUAACCCUCAUUUUUAUCAUUAGAUUAUAUUUAAUACUUCUAAUUAGUGUGCAAACAUCCGAUGUGAUAUGGAUUAAAGUUUAGUUGGGGUAUCAAGCACCCCCUAACUUGCACAUUGGAGCGACAUCUCGGAUCUUUCACCCAUCAUUCACGCUAGCUACUAGUAGUAUUUUGUUGCAAUAAUAAUACUCCCUCUAACAGCCGUUCGUUCUUUAGGCUAGUGGCGCAUAUUCAGUCUGACGAAGAAACCCCUUUUCUUUUCUUUUUUCGCGGGUAAAACCCCUUUUCUUUUGUAUCGUAGUGCUCUGUUUUCCUUUCCUUCGUAGUGCUUUGUUGUUCUUUUGAAUCACCGGAGCACACAUGCACACACACACAAAACAAAACAAAACAAAAAAGAAAAAAGGAAAAAAAAACUAUGAUGGCACGGUGCAGUUGCGCUGCAAAUUUGGGUCCCUGCAACUUUUGCUUAAAGAAGGCACAAGGGAACAAAAGGUGCCGGCUGAAAAUGAGAAUGACAAAGUGAUUAGGAUAUGAUUAUAAAGUUGACGGAGGCCGCGCCUCUGUGGUUGCUCCAGUGCUUCGUGGAGUUCAGAGGAAAUAACCGGUCGUUGCCGUUCGUGCGUCCGAUUUGGCUCGCGUCAGCUGGCCAACGAGGCAGCGAUCUCCGUCUCGCGCAGUCGCGCGGUAGAGCCACUGGCAUUCGCCAUUCGCUCGCGCUGCCGGUUGGCCAUUGACUCGCGUCAGCUCCCGUCAAGGAGGUCAAGAACAGCCUAGCAGCGGCCGAUCCGAUUGAUCCACGGGAAUUUUCUCGGCAGCUUCCCGUUCCGGCAGACGGGGACAAAUCCGUCGGCCGGCUCGGUGUGGUACCCAGCUUCCGUCAGGUACAGUACACAAGUGGGUGACACGAUUUGCGCGUGCCAGGAAACUACACGUAUGGGGGUGGUGAAGCCGUGGUAAUAAAUUGAGGACAAAUCAAUCACAGUCACGUAGAUGUUCCACUCGGUUAAUUAUUGUACCAGUACCGUAUACCAGGUCGCACGCUGGGAGAAGAGAAAAUUCCUUAUAUGCCAUCAGAAAUUAUACCCAUCCUUUUGAUACUAUAAAAAACUAGUAGCUAGGUGCCACUGCCCACUGCCAUUAAUUUUUCUUGGAGCUCACCGGUCGCCGUUACGGCACACUUGUAGCUCUGGUUCCAAUUGAACCGCAUAGCGUUGAGCUCGGUAUAUGUAAAGAAAAGAAAAAUCGUUGGCCGCUACCUCCAGUUCUCCUUCUCUCCCUCUUUCCCCUUGCAGGUACUGGAGUACCACUGCAACUGCUCGAAUCAACAGCUGCCGCUAGCCCAGUAGCCAAAUCUUUCAACAAAAAUGAGUUGCGCGCCCCUUCUUGAGCCUAGAUCUAGCGUCGCAACUUCCGAUUGUAGCAUAAAGGAGCUUGAUUUUGGUGACGAGGGUCUCGUUUGUGGCGGCGUCUACUCCUCUACUACUUGCGCACCUCCAUGGCCGCCGUCUCAUGUAGCCAUCUGCUGGUGUGCUACUUCCCUCUGCUGCUGCACUCCCUUCCUCCUCUACUGCUCGCUGCUGCAUGCCCCACCUCCGUGUUCCUGCCCGCUGCAGAGGGUGGCGUUGGGGGCGGUUGGACAGAUAGGGCGUGUCGAAUCGGGCCGCUAGGUGCAGCAGACCAGGUGGGCGCCGGCGCGCCGUCCAGCGGUUGAAGGGAGGGUCACAUGAUGAUUUUUUCUUUUCCUUUUUCUCCCCAAGUUUUGAUCUUUAUUAUAUGCAUAUAGAUGAUUACACACUUUAUCCAUCUAUAUUCUUAUUAAAUUUUUUUCAUGCACGUUUAGAUAGUGUUUGGUUCAGCAAAAUGUAAUGUAACCUAUCUACACUGUUAAUUGAUUACGUUAUAUCUUGUUUGUUUCACCGCCGCCUGUAAACGAGUCCCACGUAAUCAGAUACCGGCCAAUAGAAAUCUGAUACCCCUCCUUCUCCCCCGUAACGAGAUAUCAGUUCUCUUUCCUAGGAAAAGUGAGCUUUGUGCAUGAUGUAUUAAUCGAUACCGUUGCAUCCGCUGUAGAACCAAACAAAACAGGGAAACAGUGAUCUCACUGCCAAUGGCAGUGUAAUCCAUUUCCCGUACCGUUUGUGUUACCAGAUGGUGAAACAAACACUAUCUUAGUGUGCUGAACCAGCCAAAUGGUCCUACCAUUACAGCACUAAUCACGUCACUUGCCAUGAUUAGUGACAUUGAUGUGUGGAGCCUUUGCUACGAGGUGAGCAGGCAGCACGUGCACUAUGGCCACGAUUAUGUCCGUAAUCACAUGCCCUUCUCUUUAUCUCCUUUCACAUGGAGACGACGGGGCCUCUCCGAUCGCUUGGAAAAAGGAUGAAUUUAACAUCACUAGGAUGGAAAAGCUUACAAAUACAUGGGCGAUCUCGAUAAAUGGUUAAACCUGAGUUGUAUGCAAAAUGUUUACACCCAAAUGUCCGUCACUUACAGAGUGCUAUGCCUAUGCCAAAAAUGGUUAAAUUAUCUAGCAAAGGUUGUGCCUAAAAAGCUCGCAAGCCGACACGGCGGGGAGUAUCUGAUUGGGAAUCGUGGGAUCCAGGCCGCCCAAUGGCGGGACGACAGCUUAGCCCCCGUCCAAGCACAUGGCCCCCGCGGACAGUGACGAGUGACCACCCAGAUAGAUACUCUGCGCGCGCUCCAGCGUCCGGCCCAGGCCCAAUUCAUGCAUGCUAGCACACCACUUGAGUAUAGUAGCCCUGCUGCAGCAGCAGCUAUGCUGUGGUAGGAUGACACAACUGCUCGUCUGCUCCUCCCGUUCACGAGUAGCAAAGCAUGUCGCAGUGUCGCAGUGUUUUCAAAAAAAAAAAAAAGCAUGUCGCAGUGUCAUGUUGGCGUGCCGCUGGGAUUUGUUCGUCAGAAUACCAGACCACGAGAGAAAGAAAAGGAGAGGAGAGGAGGCAUGAAUCAUGGUGAUGCAUACUCGCCCCCCCCCCCCCCCCUCUCUCUCUCUUAGCCCUUCCUCUAAAGUGUGUUCCAAUAGGCAUUUGAGAAAUGGCAAUCCGACGUGGCAAACGGCUAGGUGCUGUUAACUGGGCCCUGGUGGCGGCGGGUGCACAUGAUGAUGGAAAAGGGGCACCACGCCUGGCCGAAUACGACGAGCGGUAGUAGCUCCCAGCCUCGCGGCAGGCGCAGGCGCAGGCGCAUCUCAUGGCUACUGCCGGCGAAAACAAACAGAGCAAGAUGCCCCGUACGUGACGGAGUGAGCGAGUGACAUCAAUCAGCCGGAGUAGGCGCGUGACAGCCGGUGAGAAGGGGACGGGAGGAAGACCGAAGACGCACUCCGAAAAACACGUGAACGAGAGGGGGUUUCUGGGCGGCUUUUGUUUGUUCCGGCUGGACGGCCGGCGGCCGGGGCUCCACCGGCCGAAAGUGACAAACCGGCGAUCCGAGAAUGAUACUCGGUGCCCCCACGCGCGCAUGAUUGCGUCUUGUUUCUUAAAGAUUUUGCCUGCUGCUGUGGCUCCUCGUCACGGCAAUGGUUCGACGGCAAAGGUCCCGUUGCCCCGAGACGAUCGUGCAACGGCUCGCAAAAUCGCAGUGCGCGCGGCGCAGGCCGGAGCACUUUUUCUUUCUUUUCUCCGUUUCUUUUCCUUUUCUUUUUCCAACGAACCGCUGAGCAGGCGAGCACGAACUGCUACUGUGUGAGGCAGUGAGGGCUAGUGUAGGCUAGCUGAACAACAAACAAAUGGACCGAGCCAACAACAAGGCCGGAAUUUGAUGCGCCUGCCAGCCUACACCCGUAGGCUAGCUCCUCUGCGGCGGCACUGCGUGUGGCAGGUAGUGCUGGGGGACGGUGGUGACUGGUGAGUAGCGCCCACCGCAGCAUCCAUGCGUUCCUCUCGUCUCUCUCGCGCAUCCGGCCGAGCCGGCAGCGCAGCGGCCUCACACGCAAGUGGAUCGUCUGGUCGACACGGCACCGCGCGGCGGCGGGGCCCGCUCGCAGUAGCAGCCCACGGCCCACGCGCAAUAUUGUUUGUAGCAGAUGAAAACUCUCGUUGACGUAGGGCAUUGACCUCCCAACCGGUCCGCCGGCAUCGAUUCGUGAUCGAUCCACAGUUCCACACACUCUCUCGGAGUCUCCCGCAAGCGCUUUCAUGUAUCGCCCGGAAGAGCAUUCCAGCACGCAGCAGCAGGCCGGCAGCACUAGUCCAGCAGAGGAGAAGUACCGGGCCGCGGACCGAUUUUGAUCUGGGCCUUUCACUAGGGUUAGCUUGAGCAGCCCACGACGGUCCAGAGCUUACUUCCUGUCUGGCCCAAGGUCCAGAGGAUUCACAGAUUUGAUCUGGGCCUCUUGAGGCUAAAGAAGGUCAGCUCAGCCCACGCUUCAGAACUUCCUUCCUUGCCUGCGCAGUAAUUUUGUUGUGAGCGGCCGUUUAAAACAGAAAAAGAACAGCCCAGUCCAUAGGCAGUAUUGGGCUAUCUAUUUCGGCCUAGGUCUCUUCUCACAUCGGCUCUUUUUUGGGCCAGUCCAUAUUGCGUCAGAAGGUUAACUGGGAAUUACUGUAUGUGCGUUUUCGUUUCUUUUUGCAUGGCCCCAUUCAAACGAGAAUCAGUUCAUACAUGACACAACAGCACAACAUUACAAAAAUUUUCUUGAUUUGGAUUGGAAGUUGUGUGCAAAUGGAAGCAAAACCAUAUGAUCCGUUACCUUAAAUUAGUGUUGUUGACGGACUGUGUCAAAUUGUUGAUUCAGAUUAGUUUUUUUUUCUAAGUCUAGAUUCUAAAAGGCAAACUUCUAUGUAAAUAUGAUGCUAGAAGUCAUUUUGCACAGAGCGUAGAAGUCAAGUUGAACAUAAGCUACUUCAAUUCGUGUAAAUUGGAUGCUUGGAAUCAAUUUGAGCAUAGCCUAUUUUCUAGAUAAAAAUAGCAAUAAGUUAAUUGUAACAUAAGCUAUUUUAAACUGUGCAAAUUGGAUGCUGGAAAUUAGAGCAUAUUUUUUUUAUAAAAUAGCUAGGAAUCAAUUUGAGAGUAAGCUAUUUUAUAGAUAAACCAAUACAGGAGUUGUAACAAUAUGUUUAAUAAAUGAGUUGUUAGUUAGACUUCAUAUUCCCUAUCCAAUGGAAAGGUUGGAUGGCUUCUUAUGUUGGAGAAGAGAAAAGGAGCAUCGCACUAACACACAAUUGGCAAUAAAGGGCUAGUGACGCCAAGGGAGGAGCACCUCAACAAUUGCCUACAUGCGCACCUGAUAUUUUCCGUACUAGUCCAUCAACCCAUGCAUCCACAUGAGUUUUAAACCUUCUUACUUGCAAACAAAAGAAAAUUAUACUCUCAUGAUAAAAAACAAUAGCCUGUCUGACAAAUGGAUGAAAAGUUAAAAUUCGGCACUGUUUAUAAUGUUUUAUGUUUUGAGCAUCAUGCAAUUUUCUUAUUACAACUUUAUUUGAGAACAUUUUCAUUCAAUAAGUAGUUAUUUGAACUUCAAUCAUCAGAAGCUCUUUUUUAAUGUAAUGUACCUCCCUACGAUACUUAUAUUCCUAGGAAAAGAGAAGAGCUCGAAGAAUUACACUGCGAAUAUUAUUCAGUAGUGUAACCCCAUCCCGUGAUGUCAUCCCUUAACCACCAUGCAAACCACCUUUCGUGCAGGCUCUGCUUAUAACAUAGGUGGUCGUGUCAGCUUCAAUUGAGGACGACAUGACAUGGGUGUGUCUAAUCAGCAUGCGCGCCAGCAACGAAUGCAACCAUCGAUUUCCGACAAAGCGAGUUUCCCUGCCUUCGCGCGCGAUGACUUUCCGCACAUGCGCCCUAGACAUGGUUCCACCAGCGGUCACCCACUAUCCCCACGCCUAUCCAGCAGUGACCCCGACGCAUUUCUCUCUGUAACACAACUUUUGUAUAUAAUUUAUACACAUAAAUUUAUAUAAGACAAAAGUUAUGCACACAACAUUAAAGAAAACACAUUAAAACACACAAAAUAUAUGCAAACGUAUAUACAACAAAUUAUGUUGAAAACUUAUGCUAAAUAUAAUCAUAUAACAAACUUAUAGACAUAACUUUUUGCAAAAAAAAUAAUCAAUAUAACUUAUGAAAAAAAGAAAAACUUAUGAAAAUGUAUUUAUAUAUAUAAAUUAUAUGCAUAACUUUUCCAAAUUUAUCGAAUAAAAAAACAAGGAAGAAAAGAAAAAAAGAGGUUAACCGGCCUCGCCGGUGCUGGGUCACCAGUGCCGCGUCAUUGCCUCCCUGGAUUCACCCUCCCGCAAUGGGCAGGUGUCCUGUGGCGAAGAGGAAGAGGAAGCGCCACCGUCGCACCCUCCGGAGCCACUGCCGCAGCUCUACUUAUCGGAAGCACACGUCAGUCCUCAUCUCGCCGGCCACCACCGAACGCGAGGCUUCCGGAUCCGACCUCCUCUUCGGCGGCACGCGACGUGAGGAGCUCGAGCUGCCUGGUGACGAAGGGGAAUGGGAAGGGGAGUCCGCAUGGUUGCCACGCGCGGAGCUCGCAGCGGCUCCUCCCGAACCUGACAUGAUUUCAUAGAGGAGAGCGAAGAAAACAAACCCUAGUAUCCCGUUUCUAUCAUAGGGGCGGCGUACAAAUGGAUUUACCUGAGAGUGGGUAAAGACCCGAGUAAUGCAUGGGCAUCACAAAAGGAAAAAUAGGUAUUUUGAUCCCUGGACUUUGUACCGAGGGUCAACUUCGUCCCUCAACUUUCAAAUUGGUCAAUUUAGUCCCUCAACUUUUGUUUUUAUUUCAAACUCGUUCUUGUAUUGAUAUGUGGCUCCGUAUUGGCAUGAAACUAAUACGAAAAGUCCUUUUUACCUUGACUCUUUUCUCUCUUUAUUUUUCGCCUUUAGAACUACAAUAACGUGUAUAUUUGCCGAGGAACUAUGAGGAUGCAUAUAUUUACCAUGAGGAUGCAUAUAUUUACCGAGGAACUAUGAAUAUAUACAUGGAGCAUGUAUAACACACCACGAGUGUGUGAGCACAUGUUGAUUUUAGAGCAUGCGUACACACAUUAAGUUGUAUAUAUACUAAAAGAAUAUGAUUAAAUACUUGUUUGAGUAUAGACAUAUCGAAUGCGUAUGAGCACAUGAAUGACUUUAAAGAUUACGAGUAGAUACACUUUUUAGAAACCAUAUUUUGUGUUAGUUUAAAAAAUAUAUUAUUGUGUGUAUGUAUUAAGGGAGUAUGAGCACAUACAUGUUUGAUCUACAUGUUCAUGGGCAAACGGGAUAUUUUCGCAUUAGGCUUAUGCUAACAUAGAAUACUAUAUUAGCACAAGGAUUUGUUUGACCCAAAAAUGAAUGUCAAUAUGAAAGUUGAGGGACGAACUUGAUCCCGUAAAAUUUAAGGAUAAAGUGGCUAUUUUGCCUAAAAGAAAUAUUAAUGAUCAAAUUACGCAUUGGUUGCACAUGCGAUACAACCUAAACGAUUUUUGUUGUCAGUUCGUAACCUGAGACGGUAUUCUCUGACCGCAGGCACGGAACCAUAACCAUCGAGCAGGAGCAGGAUAGAAUCCUGAAUUUGGCGAGGACGGCAACGCCGCAACGGCAUAUGCCAACGGCGAGACCCAUCACUUUCUCAUCCGGUUAUCCCCCGCGCUCGAUCUGGCUGGCUGCUGGCCUGCUGCUUGAACGGAACGCCCACCAAGCAGCAAGUAAACGGCACCGACUCCCAACCGGAAGAGCCGAGCCGAGCCAAGUCUCCUCCUCGUCUCCUCCCCAACCUCCUCCCCUCCCCUCCCGUUCCCGACUCGACCCCCCUCGCCUCUGACCCAGCAGGCUAGGGUUCCGCCCCCACCCCACCCGACCCCACCCCGAUCCGAUCCCAUGGACGGCGGCGACUCCUCCGCCGCCGGCGCCGGCGGCGCCGUGGCCGCGGCGGCCAAGUGGCGGAGCGACGCGUCGCGGGCGUUCCAGUACUACCUGGACCGCUCGACGCCGCACGCCACGGGGCGGUGGCUAGGGACGCUCGCCGCCGCCGCCAUCUACGCUCUGCGGGUCUACAUGGUGCAGGGCUUCUACAUCGUCACCUACGGCCUCGGGAUCUACCUCCUCAACCUCCUCAUCGGCUUCCUCUCCCCCAUGGUCGACCCCGAGCUCGAUCCCUCCGCCGCCGCCGAGGGGCCGGCGCUGCCCACCAGGGGAUCCGACGAGUUCAAACCCUUCAUCAGGCGCCUCCCCGAGUUCAAGUUCUGGUCAGAUCCCGCCUCCCCUCCCCCAGAUCUGUUUCCGCUCCUCGCCAGAUCCGCGUUUUUUUAUUUCUUAUUACUGCACCUGCUCCGGCAAUUCGCUACUUGCCCGUAUGUAUUUGCCCACUGGAACGGGGCGAUCGGGUCGGUUAGAUAGCUACUUGACAGCUUCUCGUAAUUUAUAUAGAGCCGUGUUAAUCGGCAUUUUCAAAACCGAUUAGUUUCCUUUACUACUCAAGUUACUAUUUCUCAGCUACUGCUGAUCCCCCUCCACAGUAAAUAGGCAUUUUUCUCGACCGUCUGUGGCAACCCACUGCCCUCCAGGUUCUUCCACUGAAUCAAUCAAUGGAAGACAUCGUGCAGUUCAUUCGGUUGAUGAGAAACUGGCAGGAGAAAACUUUUAGCUUGUAGAGCACAAAUCCUGGAGUGUGUGUGAUCUAUCAACAAUUGCUUUAGUCAUAGAAGAAAAGGGUUGCAAAAUUUUUCUGUUGGGAAGUUCGUGUGUCACCUGAUUAUGGUUGUUUAGUUCCAAGUCAGCUGACCAUGCAUUUAGUUGCACAAUCAUUGUCAAUCAGUGCUUAUUUGUGCUGCAUACUGAUUUGCAUAUCCUCCAGCAACCCGAAAACCAAGCAUUGUUGCAUAUUGGUUACCUCUUAAACUACAAUCAGUUCCUGAAUAAAUCACUCAAGGCAUGUUGCAUCCCUUCAAUUCCACCAUACCGUUUGGAAUUCCAGUGGAUGAAAAUGAUAUAAACAUACUCUAAUGAUGUUGUUGCACCACCAUGUAGCAGAGAAAAUUGUCACUUAUUGCUUCUGGUCCUCCCAGUUGAAGCGGACCGUCAGGUAGGUGGCAAUAUCGUUGUAUGCAAUGCCCAUGUGCUUGGUAACAGGGGGUUUCUUCGUUGAAACUAGAAUUAUUCUGAAGCGCCUUCGUUUUAGUUAAAAUAUAUCUGCUUUAAAUGGUGUCUAUCUGGAUUAAUCGGAAUUUCUGAAAUUUUUGGUGAAAUCGUUGUGAGGAGUUCUCUUUCUUUUCUCUUUGUUAAUUUGUCUGGGUCACCAUCACUUGUGGUCUCUGAUCUGCCUGGUGCAUAAUCCAUAUUUUUCUUUUUCCAAAAGGUAGCCAGACAAUAGCUUUUCAAUUUCCUGAUUAUUGCACAUUCAAGAACCUGAAAUCUCUCUCAUUGCCUAGUUACUCAACUACCCCUGAGCCUUUGUAGAUUGGUGAUUAUGUCUGUCUAGGCAAUUAGGCAUUGCCCAUGUGCUUGGUGCGGUGUUUUAAGUUAUACCUUGUCUUUAUCCUCGAUGUCAUUGCAUGUGGGAUGGUUUUGUGGAAAUCUCUCUAGCUACAUCUACAUCUACAUGGGAUGGAUUUACUGUAUAGCUAAAUAUGACAACUUAUAAGUUCGUAUGUAAUUUGAAUCAUUUAUAGUUUCUGUGAGCUCUAGUGGUGGAUUUCUUUUUAGACAAGUUUGAAGUGUUCUCGCUUUGGUAAGAGGUCAGAUAGAUGGAUUCUUAUGUUUUCUUUUUGAACUAAUUGUAGUUUUUGAAAUUUAUAGUAAUGCUUUUCAGAAGUUAUCUGUGAGUGGUUCAAUUUUUCAUCAAUAGUUCACCCUCACUAGUGUCGAGUAUUCUUUUCUUCAUUUUGUGCGUGUUGAGUAAACUAUUGCCAUCUGCAAGGUUUUAUUUUGGAAAUGCUAUUGGGUAGUAUGCAUAAAAAUGCAACGUAUGAAGUACUUUGACUGCUUUCUAUGUUUUCCGUACUCAAGUUUCCUCCUUUUAGGGUGUCAUUCUGAGUGUCACCCAUGUAAUGUGAAUUUAGAUGCAGCACAGCAUGCAAAAAUAUAAUGCAUGCGUAUUUGCUCAUCCAUUUUCGAGUAUUUUCUAAAAUAGUUGUUUUGUUUUGUUAAAUCUUAAUGCUGAAGAUCUUUCUUAAAGUUCCAAUCCAGUAUACCCCCCAUAACAACCAUUUCUUUGUCUUUCAGGUAUGCAAUCACAAAAGCUUUUGUUAUAGCUUUUGUGAUGACUUUCUUCUCUGUGUUUGAUGUUCCUGUCUUCUGGCCCAUACUCCUUUGCUACUGGGUUGUUCUCUUCGUCCUUACAAUGAAGCGCCAGAUUGUGCAUAUGAUCAAGUACAAAUAUGUGCCCUUCAGUAUUGGGAAGCAGGUCAGUACUACUGUUUAAACUUGUUGACUUUUGUUUAUUCGCUAAAUGGUUAUGUGCUGAAAGUCUACUGCUGUGGGUACCAAGGGGGUUGCAUGUUUAAAAACACAUGGACAGUGGGGGUUUUCUAGCAUUUUCAUUAAACACCAUCAGUUAUGGUCCCCAGAUCAAUUUUAUCUUUAUUUUGUGAUGUUCAAGAAAUGCUUGUGUAGUAGCUGCAAGUUGUUGUUAGGUGAAGUGUCAGUUUUUUUUUUCCAUUCCUCAUGAUUUGCCCUGACUGAUGCCAGAAAUAUGGUGGGAAGAAGAGCGGCUCGAGCAGCAGUUCCCCAAGAGACUGAUCCCGUACCUACCCGUAGGAAGCAUGGCAGGGGAACAAGAUACGGUGGAUGAUGAUAUUUGAUGUGCUAAAUACCAAGUGUAAUACUUCAUUCAUAUCUAGAGGUAGACGGAUAUUCGCUCCUGUUUCUGACUUGGGUUCACGGUUUAAUUCGAUAUUGCGCUUAGAAAUGCUUCCUUAUGUGCGUGUAUAGCGUGUUUCACUCUGAUAAAUUAUUUCGUUUAGUUAAGGCACCCCAUAUCUCAGGAUCCCAGAAAUAAGUGGCACGCGAAACUGUCCCAAUGGGAGGCGUGCCACUAGCUUGUCUUUGUACCAAACCGGAGCAGAAUGCCAAACUUUGAGCACUAAACUAAAAUUCAUUUGACUUUACUAUGUCUUAUAAACUUUGCAUAUUCAGAAAAUUUAUGGUCCUUCGUGUCGUUUAGAUAUUUAACGUGAAACGGUGAAAAUGUACCUCGUGUUUUGCUGUCUGGGUGACAACCGUCGUUGGUAACACAGUCCCCAAGAUGUACGCAGCGUGCGCGAUGCCCAGCGCGAGAGGAGCCUCUGCAGAAUCGUUUUCUCAGGAAGAACCAGGCAGGUCAUGUUUAGUUCCUCAAAACUUCCAACUUUCCUAACUUUGACACUAAGUAAAAAGAAGAUUUCCCAUCACAUCAAACUUGCGGUACAUGCAUGGAGUACUAAAUGUCGACGAAAUUAAAAAUUAAUUGCACAGUUUUGUUGUACUUUGCGAGACGAAUCUUUUAAACCUAAUUAGUCAAUAUUUGGAUAAUAAUUCACAAAUACAAACAAAAUGUUACAAUAUGCUACAAUACUACAAUAGUAAUUUUGCACCUUCAAACUUUGAUCAACUAGGCGCGUACUGAAACCUCGGAUCAUCAAAAGAGCAAGCAAAGUGCACAACAUGCCAAGGGACCGAGCAGACAUGACUUCAUCCAUUGGGCCAGAAUAGCAGGCGUGCAGGCAGCCCACCAAAGUGCUGCCUAGCCCAAGAAUGAUUUAUCUUCAACCUCGUUCAAUGCACGCCCUGCAUGCUCGUCGGUUCGUGUGCGGCUGCGCUAGGGGGGAUGGCAACGGGGCUAUCCCCGUCGGAGUCCGGCGGAACAUUCUGCCCCUUGAGUAAACUGUAAACUAAGGUCCCAUUUGUUUGGGCUUCUGGCCAGCUUCUGAACCGCCGAAGCUGGAAGUCCAAAUAAAGAGCAGGCUUCUCAGCGCAGCUUUUGCAAUGUUAAAAAUUCACAGAAGCUGCCGUAGCAUGGAAAGGUCGAAAGCGAGCGAAAAUGAGCUUCCGCUGGCUUCUGACGUCCCACUUCACCUUAUUUACCUGCCUGCCAUCGUGAAUAUACGCGGAUCGUUAUUUUUCUUUUCUUCCGCUCCCCCUCCCCCCGACCCAACCGGCCAACCCUAUCCACUCACGGCUCGCCUCUCGCCUGACGCCCGACGCCUCCCCUCCAUCCCCAUCUCGCCCGCCGCCUCCCCUCCAUCCCAUCGAUCCCCACGCACCCGUCGCUACUACCGUCGCGGCAUACUCCGUCCGCCGAAGGCUACCCGGGGCCGCCGCCAUCCAAGGCCUCCCGGGGCCGCCGUCGUCCAAGGCCAACCGGCGCCUCCUGUUGAAGCCGGCUCAGCCCCCUUGCUCCGCUCACCGUCCGGGCAACCCUUGAAGCCAACGACCCUACCCCUGCAGAUCUGCGCCGAGCAGCUCCACACGAGCCAGUUCCGAGGUGAGCAGCCCUUCCCCUCCUCGAUCUUGAGUUGUUCUAGCCUUGAACCAUGGAUUAGGAUUUGGAUUCACUGAUUAGGAUUUGGAUGCCUUUAACCAGUCAUUCACUGAUUAGGAUUUGGAUUCACUGAUAUAUGUUCUGAUUUUAUUCAAUUAGCUUGCAUUUCAAUUGUACAUCUCAGUAAAAUAUGAUGUAUAUUAAAGGGUUGAAUAUUUGAAGUUAAUACUACUGUUAAAGUUCAACUCAUACUUUUGGUUUGAUAAGCGACAAAACAUUGUUUGAUCUGUUAAAUAGAGGUGUCUUUAGAGGCAGAUUUGUUGAACCAAUAUUCUUAAAACUCUAGCAUUCACUGUUUGGUAGAUGAAAUGUAUGAAAUCAUGAACAAACACCUCUCUGUUUAGAUGGAGAACAAUAGAAAGGGCAAGGAAAAGAGGAAUGAAAAGGAUAAGGUCGUAUGCAAGGUAGAUUGGGAUAAUCCUGAGAUGACCACAAUAUUUUUGUAAAAUUGUUGUUGACGAGAUCCAUGCUGGGAAUAGACCCCUGGGCACUCUGAAUCGAAGAGGUUAUAAGAACUUGCGGGAGAAGUUUUUUGAGCAAACAAGGAAAAACUAUACCUAGAAACAGCUGAAGAACCGUUGGGAUAACCUCAAGAUCUUGUAUACUUUUCGGAAAUCACUAUAGACACUACUGGGGAAUUGUAGCUUUCGUCCACUGCAUUAAUGCUCAUAUUAGUACCGGGUCUAACGGAUAGUUUCUCAGGAGCCCCCCGUGACCCCUUUAGUACCGGGUGGAGCUCCCACCCGGUAGUAAAGGAGCUCCCAUCCACCUUAUCCAUGCCGCCCAGCCCGCUACCCGCUCCCAUCUUAUCUUGGCCUCCCCCUAUCUCUCUCUCUCUCUCUCUCUCUCUCUCUCUCUCUCUCUCUCUCUCUCUCAGCACCACCCCCUCCCCCUUCCUCUCCUGCUGCCGGGACCUUCUCUGCCUCCCCCCGGCUAGCUCCUCACCGGCAGUGAGGAACAGCGGUGGGGCGAGGUGAGGCGGCAGCGAGAGGCAAGUGGCAGCGAGGGGCAAGGGCGGGGCUCGGGCUCGAGCUCGGGGAGGGGGGGGGGUUGCGGCUCGGGCGGGGUGGGAUUUGUUUUUAUUUUUUAUUUUUUAAUACCCUUUUAGUACCGGUUAUUUCAACCGGUACUAAAAGCUCCCCUUUAGUACUGAACUAGCAAUAUCGGUUGCGCAACCGGUACUAAAGGGGGUUCCCAACCGGUACUGAUGGGGCUUUCCCCAGUAGUGGGAUCAAUUCUAGGCUCAGGAGGAAUCCAGAGUUGGGGAUAGUGACAACAAGUGUCCAAUGGAGGGAGGCAAACACAACGGUUAGCAAUCUAUCUUGUGUAUAUUUUUUGUAAUUCUUUGAAGUGUAUAUGUGCAAGUGACCAAUCUGUUUGUGCUCUUCUGUUGUUUGUGCAGGAACACAUGCAGAGUGACCAUAUAUUAUUGCUAACACAUGUGCGAUAUAUAGGAAAGUACUACCUUAUUGACUCGGGCUAUCCUAACCAGAAGGGUUUCCUUUCACCAUACAAAGGAGAGAAGUACCAUUUACCUGAGUUUCAACAAGGUCCUAGGCCAAGAGGUAAAAAAGAAGUGUUCAAUCACUUGCACUCAUCACUACGGAAUGUGAUCGAACAGUCCUUUGGUGUUCUGAAAAUGAAGUGGAGAAUACUAUUGAAGUUGCCUAGUUAUCCAAUGGAAAAGCAAAUAAGGAUUAUAAUGCAUGUAUGGCGCUACACAACUUUAUUAGAGAGAGUGCUUUGAGUGAUGAGCAUUUUGACAUGUGUGAUCAAAAUGAAGACUUUGUUCCAAGUGUUGGUGAAUCAUCAUCCUCUCAGCCGCAAGCAAAUGGACAAGAGGAGAGUGACAUGAAUGCUUUUCGUGAUAGUAUUGCCGAUGCUUUGAUUGCAAGACUAGUGUAAUAUGUACUCAAGAUGUGUCCUAAUUAUAAUUUAUGACUUCACAUGUACUUCAAAAUUAAUGGAUAAUGACCGAUGCAAUUUAUUAGAAUUGUACUAAAAAAAUCUCUAGUAAUAGUUUACAACAAAAUUACAAAUAAUACAGACACAUAGGAAAUACAUGUUGUUGUACACCUCCUCAGCAUAUACAUCCUCAGAGAAGCUAGGUUGCCAAACGCCUCAGCUUUGGGAAAAUCUAGCUUUCAGAAAGCCACCCUUCCAAGAGCAAAAGACAAAAGCUAGCUUUUAGGAAAGUUGCAGCUCAAACAAACAACAAAUAGGUGUAAAUCACCUCGCUCCCCAUCCCCGACAUUGCACACAGGGGCAAUUUUCCCACAUCCCCGUCCCCGUUCCCUAGCGGGGAUUAGACCCCCAACGGGGAUCCCAACCUUGAAAAAUCCCCGAUAUUCGUAGCUAUUGAUUUCUUUCUCUGUUCAAUCUUAGUAUGCAAAGAAAACUUUGAAAGAAACAUCCCAAGGAUUAUGGAAAAACAAAACACAGAUCAAUCGCACAACCAUAUAUACAUCUAUUAUCUAUACAAUUUGCUAGCCUUCUCAGUUCUCACGGAGCAAACAAAAGGAAUAAGAAAAUCCCUGCAAUCUUCACGUUGUCCUCUGAUUGCCUUUAAGACUCACCGUGGCAAGGCAAUAAAUGUCAAUCAUUCACCGUGCAAGGGUGAAGGGUUCACUGUGUGGCGAGAGCAUGCAACUGCGACCUGCGCGGAGAUCGACAGAUCUUCACUUCUGCCAGCACUGGCUCGGUGGAGGUGUUGUAGGAUUCGGAGGAAGCGGACAGGUUAGAAGCCGCAAGGAUGUCCUAGCGGACGGAUUAGAGGCCACGAGGAUGUCCCGGCCGUAAAAAUCAGAGGGGCUGUGGAAGGUUGAACCUUUAGGACCACACCUUUAUUUAUAUAGGUGAUAAGAACCAUCAUCGUGGCAUGUACAAGAUCAGCCGGCGGCCAGCCAUGAGUUUAUUGGUAAUCUAAACUAACCCUAGAUUACAUACAACAACCUUCAAGAUAUACAUCAGGCUAACAACAAACUAUGGUCGGCCACCUAACUUGAGUGACACGUUGCAUUGUUUAACAACCCCCUCAAUCACAGCUUUCCUAAGCUUUCCUAAGUUGAGAUUGUACUUGAAGUUCUCCAAUUGUCUGACCGGGAGAGUCUUCGUAAAUCCAUCUACCACUUGAUCACCUGACGGAACAAAGUCAACUUCCAAGAGUUUUCUGGCGACCCAUUCCUUGACAAAGCCAUAGUCAACUUCAAUGUGCUUCAUUCUUGCAUAGAAGGCAAGAUUAGAAUUAAGAUAUUUAGCACCCAUAUUAUCACACCAAAUUCGUGCCAUUGGAGGACUCUGAAUGUGCAGUUGCUUCAAAAGAGUUUGCACCCACAUAACUUCAGCAGUAGCAUUAGCAAUGGAUUUAUACUCUGCUUCUGUACUUGACCUGGACACAAUUGCUUGUUUCUUAGCAUUCCAUGACACAAGAUUAUCUCCCAAGAAAAUAGAAAAUGCUCCUGUUGAUCUUCUAUCAUCUAGGCAUCCUACCCAAUCUGCAUCUGUAUAUGCACUUACCAGCAUGGAUGUAGACUUACACAACUUUAAACCGAGCUUGGAACAGGAUUUAAGGUACCUUAAUAUUCUUUUUUACAGCCACCCAGUGAACAAUUGUUGGAGCAUGUAGGAAUUGGCACACCUUGUUUACGGGGAAAGCAAUAUCAGGCCUGGUCAAUGUCAGAUAUUGGAGAGCACCUACCACACUUCUAUACUGAGUAGAAUCAUCUAGUCCCAAAGGAACUCCCUCAUGUAUUGAUAGCUUUUCACUAGUAGACAACGGUGUGCUUACCGGCUUGUAGUCUCCCAUACCAACCUUACCUUCUUUAGGAGAUCCAAGACAUAUUUUUGUGUUAAGAGAAUUCCAUUGUGUAACUUGUGUACCUCUAUACCAAGAAAAUAGUGUAGAUCACCAAGGUCCUUUAGAGCAAAGUCCUUCUGAAGAUCCAGUAAGAGAGUCGAGACAGCUUCCGGUUUGGAGCUCACUACAAUUAUGUCAUCAACAUAAAUAAGGACAAAUAUCACAACACUCCCUUGAUAAUAGAAAAACAAAGUGGUUUUUGCUUUAGAACCUUUAAAACCAAGAUCACACAGUCUCUUACUCAAGCGAGAGUACCACUCUCGGGGUUCUUGCUUCAGUCCGUAGAGUGCUUUAUCUAAUUUACACACAUAGUUUGGACAUGUCUUAUCCUCAUAUCUAGGUGGCUGCUUCAUGUAGACUUCUACUUCAAGGACACCAUGAAGGAAGGCAUUUUGUACAUCUAGUUGUCGAAGAGUCCAACCCCUGAAAAUAGCAAUAGAGAGAAUAAUCCUAAUAGUAGCUGCCUUUACUACAGGACUAAAGGUGUCUUCGUAAUCUAUUCCAUAUCUUUGCUUGAAUCCCUUUGCAAUCAGUCUAGCUUUAUAUCUAUCCAAGCUGGCAUCUUGUUUUCACUUGAUUUUAUAAACCCACUUACAAUCUAUGACAUUCCUACCUUUUUGAGGUGGAACAAGGUGCCAGGUUGCAUUCUUUUGCAGGGUCAUAAAUUCACUAUCCAUUGCACUUUUCCAAUUAUUAUCUUGCAAGGCAUUUUCUAAAUUAUAUGGCUCACCAGUUGCUGUAAGAAAACUGAACUUAUUGCUGUAUUUAAUGGUACCAUCAGUGUAAGUUUUCUCCUUACGAAUACCACUUUGUAGGCGUGUCUUCAGUCUUGUGUUCCCCUUGCCGAAGAGACCACAGGGGAUCCGGGCUCCAGAGUCGAGGCAGAUUCGCGAGGAGGCAGCGCAGGGGAAGAUUCACCUCCAGGCAGGGUGGAGCCGGUGGCAGUGUGAUGUGUGGCGGGAAGGACGCCAUCGUCCGCGCGCUCCCCAGUCGUCGGGCGCAUGGCUGGUGGAGGCUGGGCGACGUGGAAGGGGGCACUGCCGGAUGUCCCCGGAGCUCCGGACACGGUGCACGUGUCAGCUGGCGACGGGUGCACCAGUGGGGGAUCCACCCUAGCAGAGCCUGUUGAGCCUGGUUUAGUGCAGGGAGCAUAUCCCGAAGAAGAUGUUAGUGCAGGAGGAUCUGCUUCGAUUUUCGUGCCCAGACCUGUAUUCUCAGUAUUUGAUGUAGGAAGCUCCUGAAAAGCACCGGUUUCUUCACAAAAAUCAUUAGCAGAUAAAUUAGGGAAAUUAGUCACAUGAUUACUCAGUUGCGGGGCACCAUUGCCUAGAGUAUUUGGAUUUAAAAGAGAUGGAUCUAGAAAAGAAAUUUUUGUUUGUAAUCGCCUGCUUGUAUUGGAGUGGAGUUUAGAGAAAGGAAAUAUGGAUUCAUCAAAACGACAUCUCUAGAGAUAUAUACCCGACCAGAUGAAGGAUCAAGGCACUUAAACCUUUGUGCAAGCUGCUGUAACCCAAGAAAGUGCAUUGUGUAGAUCGAAAUUGAAGUUUCUGAGAGUUGUAGGGGCGUAGGUUGUGCCAACAUGCACAACCAAAGACUCGUAGAGAUGUGUAAUGUGGUUUCGGACGGAAUAGAUGCUCUAGGGGUGUUUCAUGCUGAAUAACUCGACUAGGAAUUCUGUUGAUUAGAUAGACAGCGGAGAGAAAAGCAUCACCCCAAAAUUUGAGCGGCAUGGAUGCAUAGGCUAGAAGAGCAAUAGCUACUUCUACAAUAUGGCAAUGCUUUCUUUCAGCGGAUCCAUUUUGUUGAUGCGCAUGAGGACAUGAGACAUGGUGUGUGAUGCCAAUUUGUGUAAAAAAUAAGUUUAAUUUUUUUGAUACUCCUUUCCCGAGUCAGUUUGCAUGGCAAUGAUCUUUCUAUCAAAAAAUCUUUCGACCAGAUUUUUAAACUCAUGAAUUCUUUGGAACACAUCAGAUUUGAACUUCAAAAGAUAGAUCCAGAUAAACUUCCUGUAAUCAUCAAUAAAACUAAUAGAAUAUUUUUGUCCUCCAACUGAAUUGGGUGCAGGGCCCCAUACAUCAGAAAAGACAAGUUUCAAAGGAUGAGAGGAAACACUAGAAGACUUGGGAUAGGGUAAUUGAUGGCUCUUGGCCAUUUGACAAGCACCACACACUGAUUGUUUAUUCAAAUCAAAAGAACAAGGAAGAUUAAAACUACUGAUAACUUUCUCCACAACUGGGAGAGAUGGAUGCCCAAGGAAACUAUGCCAUUGCUCAUCAGAUGGCCUAACAACUCCAAAGGCUUGCUUUAUUGAAUGUGUAGACAGCAGGGGAUACAAUUCUUUAUGGCAGCUCCCUCUAAGAAGAUUUUUCCUCGUGGCCUGAUCCUUGAUCAAAAAGAAAUCAGGGUGAAGUUCUAGAAAGGAAGAGUUAUCAGUAGCUAAUCUAUGAAUGGAAACAAGAUUUUUACUGGCUUCAGGAACAUAGAGAACAUUUUAAGGAUGAAGAUUGUGGCUAGGGGUUUUAACAACUGAAUGACCAAUGCGACAAAUUCCCAUACCUGCUCCACUCACAGUUUGGAUAUGAUCAUUCCCCUUGUAUCGGUCAUGGACAGUGAGCUUCUCAAGAUUGGUCGCCACAUGGUCAGUGGCACCACUAUUUCUGUACAAGUUGGUGUCCACCCUAUAUGAUAUGGUUGCUAUCCCUGCAUAUCUCUCAUCAGGUAUUUCCAUCAUACCUAUGCCAGCAAUCUGUCACCAUGUGACCCUUCUUGAGGCACAGCUAGCACCUGGGCCUGCUGUCAGGAUUGCCCCUACCACCAUUGUACUGGCGAGGGGCGUUGCCGUUGCUGCGGGUGUUGUUGUUGCCGGCGGCCAGCCAUGAGUUUGUUGGUAAUCUAAACUCACUCUAGAUUACAUACAACAACAUUCAAGAUAUACAUCAGCCUAACAACAAACUAUGGCUGGCCACCUAACUUGAAUGACAUGUUACAUUGUUUAACACCAGCGUCGGCGCCAGGGAGAUUGGGGAGGGGUUGAGGCUUGAGGAGAGAGGAGAUCAAUGAACGGCCGUCGCAGUCGCGCGCUCAAGUACUCGUAUUCGCGUCGUGAGGAAAGAGGGUGGCGGGCUGGCCGCUGAGUGACUGGAGGAGACGAGGGGAUGGGGAGAGCUAGGGUUAGCAGAUCGCUAGCCAAAUUUUAUAUCAACUUGUGGGCUUUACCAAAUUUUCUUUGCUGGGCUGAUUUCGGCCUAUAUCUAAUGCACAAGCACAUGAAUUCGAGGCUCCCGCUGGGGAUCGGGGACAGGGAGCCAGGGAAGUCUAUUCCUAUCUGGUUUCCGGUGGCCCGUUAGCUAUAUGGCUUCCAUUGUUUGAGAUUCGUGCAAAGAAAUCCCACCCCUUGGUUGCACCCAUCUUCCUCAACCCUAACUUAGCCGUGCCCCUGUCCAUGGCCGCCGCCUCGACCCCGAGCUUGUCGCUCCCCCACGACACCUCCACCGGCGGGCCUAUUGCACCGCCGCCCAUGACUCUCGGCGCCUCCGCGCCCCAUGGCUAUCGGCCUACUGCCCGCGACCCCAGCGUCGCCGCCGCGCCCCAUAGCGCCUUCACACGUGACUCCUGGCACCUCCGCGUUGGCCUGCUGCCCGCGCGUCCAAAACCUGCCGCCGCCGCUGCGUCUUGGCCGCCGACCUGCCACAGGCACCCCCUGGUCAUGCUGUGGCCACGGCCUACCACCGUGCACGCCCUUCCACCGCACUAGCCGGUGCCGACGCCAGCGCGCAGCCUGCCGGCUUGCCGUGUGCUGGCGUCGGCACCGGAGAAGAAGCCACGACUAUUUUUUUUAAAAUGUUGAUGCAUUUGUGGAUAAAUGUUGAAUCCUUUUUUCAAAAUGUUUAAACGGGUUGUGAAAAAUAUUGAAAAUGGUAUACAUUCCAAAAAUGUUGAAUGUAGUAUUUUUAAAUAUUGAUCUAUUUCUCUUAAAAUGUUGAAUGUAAUUUUUCAUUGAUGAAUUUGGGCCUAUUAGUUGGGUCCAUUAGUUGGUCCUAAUGGACUUUAAAGCCAUGUUGCUUAGCUAGCACAUGGAAGCUACAUAGGAGCCCCCGCCAGGUAACGUCCCCGCCCCCGUCUCACCAGACAGGGAUGAGUUUUGACCUGCUAAGCUCCCCGAGGGGAGUAAAAUCACCCUAUUUACAUCCCCUAAUGGAUGAAUUCCCCACUGGGGAUUGGGGCCCCAUUGCCAUCCCUAGGCUACGUGAAGCCUGAGCCCUCUAGGGCAAUGUUAUAAAUUGUUUGACUAAUCACGAUUAGUCACGAUUAAUCGCCCUUAUCGGUUUCCUACCACCGAUAAUGCCCAACGAUUCGAUUUGGUCGAUAUCGUACAUACAUCUAUGGCCCACCAGGAGGUUUGGAUAGUUCUAUAUAUGGGGCUGGACAUCGAGACACAUCUUACAUGGAGACCAUGGCGCGGGACGGUGUAGUCUACAUGGAAGGACAAGAACUAGUUGGGAAUUAGGAAAGUACUCAUUGUAAUAAGAGAAUAACUCCUCUAACCGUAUCCAACUAGUAUUCUUGUAACCAACCGACCUGUAACCCUGUGCCCGGCUAUAUAACGCAAGGCAGGGACCCCCUCCAAAGCAAUUCAAUCCAACCAACACACAGGACGUAAGGUAUUACGCAAUUUAGCGGUCCGAACCUGUCUAAAUCGUGUGUCUGCGUUUACCUUCGAGUUCUUGAUCUCGACGAGCUGCACUAACCAAAACACUCCCUCGGGUACCCCCCUCGAUAGGGUGCCGGGUCUAAACACCGACAGCUAGCGCGUCAGGUAGGGGUUCUCAUCGAGAAUCCGCUGGUGAACUCGAUGGUACAAGUCAUCAUCAAGCCAAUCAUUGCAUUUGAAGCAGGCGCGACAUUCUUGUAACGACUCAGGUUAAUCAGCCAAGUUAAUCUUACAAGUUCCCAAAUCUGCAGUUCAAUCAGCCCCGACCCCUGAAACUCAACCCAACCGCCGUUUCUCUCUAAGUCCCGAAACCAGGGUUCCUUCAAAAGUGGAGCUUUGGGAGAGCCAGAGACUGGAAGUUGGACCUAGAGAAAGGAUUCCCCGGAUCUAUUAGGCCAAGCGCGCCAGAGCAAGCGUGCGCCCUACUUCAGAGCCCCGUCGCCGUGUGGCAUGGUAUCCCCGACGAGCCCCGCCUCGCCCAGUCGCUAGCCGCAACAGGAUGGAUCAGCGCACCUCCUUCCCAAUCACGCGCGGAAGCGCCCUGCAUCCCUUUUCCACCUCGUCUCAUCUCGCCUGCAACCUCGCCGGCUGCGCCAGGCGCCCUGUCGCCGCUGCGACCAAGGAUUAGCUGCUGCCGCGUCAGUUCGCCUCGUCUCCCGCGCACAUCUCCUCACCUGGAUCCCUGGCCUCGCGUCUCAACGCCUUUUGGCUUUUCUGUCGCCCCUUAGUUGUGCUGCCCACGCGCGCUCCCCGCGACGAAACCGCCUUCGCCAACCACGGCUCCAGCAGUGACAACUCCUUUUCCCGUCUCGCCAGUAGCGUGCCCCGGCAAAGCUGCUGGUUCGGCGCUUGCUAGCGUCGCCGCUCGCCUUGUCACCUCACCUGCAGCGCCCUCGCCUGCAGUGCCCCUUCCUUCCUUCCUGCCGCACGCUAGCCAAGCCGCCGCACCCAAUCCGCCGCUUGACGCGACCAGACCCGCGCUCACCCUCGCCAAUCUUUCCCUCUGGCAAAACCAUGCCUGCUUAAGCUCUGUCUUCAGUGCCCAAUGACCGAAGACCCUAUCCCUGAAGCUCCGCUUCGCCGGCCAAUGGAGGCAUCGACCAAUCGCCGCCCCGGCAGAGCACUCCAUUCUCUUCGACCUGAUCCUCGGGCUGCCCGAACUCCUUCUCUUCCGCGCAGCUAUAAAAGGGAGUACCCGAGCCUCUACCGGAGUUUCCUUCGCCAUCGUUUCCUUGCCGCACCUUCCUCUGUUUCGCACUCAAGCGCUGCCGCAUAAGCUCUUGAAGAACUCCCCUCUCUGCUCAACACCCACCUUUCCCAACCCGCCAGCCGCUUGUUCCUCCGCACUGUGCUAGAGCUUACUUGUUGUCCACAAGAAGCACCGCCGCCGCCGGAGCACCGCCGGUCCCAGCCGCCGCCCAAGCCUUAGCGCCUUAAGUCUUUCCGCCUGAGUCUGUUCCUUCCCGACCCCAAGACUUCACCAGUAGGCCCAAGGGUAAGCCGCCGACCCCUUUCCGUCUUGCCCGACCCCUAUUUGUUUCGCCGACCCUUGUCCGCCUCGUCUGAGGGCUCGGCUGUAUCCUUUUCUGUUGACCAAGGAUAUCUGUGUAAAAUUUUAGGGACUUCUCUGUGUUAUGUCUAAGGACCCCGGUACAGUUAUUCCUUAGGUCUGAGGGUCAGAUCAUAAGUUUUUCCCGAUCCGACUCCUUUAUCUUGUUCUCUAUCAACAGAAGCUUAGGAUUUCACACCUUUCCUGUAGUUUUGCCACAAGUUUCUAAGCUUAAGCUUGCAAGUGUUGUUGAAAUAACCGUCUAAGUGUUUAACCCCUGCAUUUGCAUUUCGUGUAGAGCUCAACCUCGCCGAGGGCACCUACGAGCUGCACCCGGUGCCAGAAGAUGAAGUAGUAGCUGAGCUGCCGACCGUAGGAGCUGAAGCAGAGCACACUGAAGAUCAGUUUGCUUCCGCCCCACUCGAAGGCAAGCCCCGAAGCAUAACCCAACUUUUCUAAACUUGAGCAUGCCUUCCUUUGUAUGUAUGUGCAUUUAUGUUACAGGAGUUGUUUGAAACCAUAAAUGCAUGACUUAGUUCCCUUGAUCUGAACACUAGCAUGAUAAGUCCGAGUAGUUGCAGUGCUUAACAGGACCCGGUAAAAGUCGAGUGAUUUCCUAUCACUCGCGAGUUAUAGGAGUUGUUUGUUCUCCUUCUGGUUACAACUAUAAGGACGGUGGACGGAGCAGAGCCUUGUGAACUCUUUUGGUGGUCGGUGGAUCGCCCUGUCUGUCUAUAUGAAAUUGCUUAAGGUCGGAAAGUGUUGGUGUUCGUGAUCAAGUGUUUGAAAGUACUAAUCUCAUACCUAGUAUGGGAUGGGGAAGCCUAGUACCUGAUUGAACUAGGGCGUGGCUUAUACCCCUGCUGUCCCUGGAACGAGGUUCCCAUGGUGCAUCAUGUGGGUGCAAGUGCUGUCACAGUACGACAAGAGGUCGGGACUGUGGAGCAUUGCAUGCUAAGGGAAGUUUGGACCUGACACGUGCCUGGGAAUUGAUGGGGAUGGCCGACACAGGAAGCGACCCUCUGUGGUGUGUGGAUGUCGUGAGAUUAGGUUCACCAUGCAUGGUUAAGAAACUCAAAUCAAUUCAUCUGCCUCUCACAGUUUGAGACUGCUUGAUCGCUAUGCUACACUGAGUAAAGAUGGAACAUGAUGAUGAUAUGAACUUUGAGGCUUGUUCUAUACUUUUGUUUGGAAUCUAUGAUUGUUAGCAUAAGCUGCCAAUAUAGCCUGGUUAAUGAACUUAGAAUCUGAGCUAAAAUAUUGAAAGUAAGGACCUACUGUAGUUGCUUUUAGCAAAACAAACCCCUCAGCUAAAGAGCCUUGCAUGUCUAGAAGUUGGUGGAGUAGUUUUUCCCACCGGUCGGUUAAGUCUUGUUGAGCUUAGCAGCUUAGCCUUGCUUGUGGCAUCUCUUUCAGGUGAAGUUGAAGCUUCUGAGUGUGCUGCUGUUGGCACUUGGCCGCCCCAGCUUCCUCCUGGGUGGACGGUCGAGUGGGAUCCCUCCUCGGACGGUGAGGAGAGGGAUCAUUGAUGUCUUGAUCGGCCUCAUCAGGGACAUCCGACCCAGCGCUAGCUUCCGCAGUUCUGUUUUAUCUUUUUCCGCUGCUUGAACUCUGUAAAACUUUGGUAUUUCCGAACCGGUGUUGAUGAACUUAAUGUACUUGUUUAAGUGGAAGAUCUGUUGUAUUCUCUGGAACCACUCACUUUCGUGUGAGCUAUGCUAACUCGGUUUGUAUAGUGGUUUAUCGGAUGAAAUCCGACGGAUCGUCGAGUCAACUUGAUUAAAGCAUAUGAUCGCGUGUUAGGCAACUUAAAUGUGCUUUAGCUAAGUUAAUCCGAGGUGUUCCGCCACAGUUCCUCUUCGGCUCCUAGGUUUGCAUCGCAGACGGUGUUGGAAAUUUCUGCCGCUACAUUGCGUUGACCCCGAAGAAGAAGCAGCAAACCAUGAAGCUCCAGCGCCAAGAUCUAGAGGAUCUCGUCAAGAAUUUUGGUGAAUUUUUAUUUCUUGACCUAGUCAGAGGCUAGGGGGACGAGUCUGAGUACAGCUCGACUUCUUCCACCGGUCGGAUUGACUUGCACGAGCUGGUGCAUAAGCCAUCGUGUGAGUCGGAUUACCAUCUGAGUCGAUUCCUGUUUGGACUCCGCAAUGUGACCACUGUUUAUCAGGCGGCCCUAUCCAGAUAAGAAUCCGAUAUGGAUAUGAUCGAGGACCUCGACUACUACUCGGAUCCGGAUGAGGAGACUCCUUUAUCAAGUCUGCAGCAGGGCCUGGUAAUCACAUCAACUCCUCAAGGCAGAUUCUUCUACUGGCCCAACAUGAAGCCACCCGCUCUUGCCAAGGACGAAAAUUCAUGCCUCAUCGCCUACCUCGACACUUUCUCGUACCAGGAGGGAGCUUCUCUGUCGCCCAUCUACGAGGUAGGCGACACCAUAGAGGUCAUGACUUCAAGCUCGGGAAGCUACUCUCCAGAGUAAGAACUCUUCGCCGUCAUUGCUGGAGAAGAGGACGAAGAAGAAGAGCGGCGGGACAGAAACUCGCGACAUGAGCGUCACCCAGAUGAUGUCUUGCAGGAUGAGCUCACCGCCAACAUUGUCAGAGAAGAGACCGAAGCUCAAAGAACUCAACAACGAGCAAGAAACGCCGCAAGAGCAGAGCGCCCCCGCUGCCUUGCAGCGGACCUACCAAUCCAUAACUUGGAUAAUGCCUUUGAAGCAGUUCAAACGCGUCACCAUCAUACUCCCAUGGCUACCGUCAUGUCUAUUGAUCUCAUCACCCGCACGAUGCCCCAGAACAAGUACACUAGACAGUUGGUUGAACUCGCGUAUGAACAACUCGAUCAGCAGAAUCCGAUACAGCCAGUCCAAUACUCCGCAUCCCAGCGAAGUCAACAUGGUAGUAGCCAAAGAGGCACUCUGUUGAGACUGAGUCAACUCGGAGGCACCAGACGAAGCCAAGCUGGAGCUGAAGGUAGUCGGGCAGAACCCUCGGGAUGUCGUGGCCACCAUGGGGCUAACCCAAAGCCUAAACGCCCAGUAGGAGACCUCUACAACAAGAUCAUUGCCAGCCGCGACGCCCGUACCAUCAUCGAUGAACGGUGCCGCGAGCGCGAUCAAGAAGUCAAAUGCCUAGGAGAUGGUACUGACGGGUUCCCCGCCUUCUCCAGACGUGUGAGGAGGACAACUCUACCUGAAAAGUUCAAACCCCCAGGCAUCACCAAGUACAAUGGCAAGCAAGACCCAGUCCAAUGGCUCUGGUGCUACUCGCUGUCAGUACAAGCAGCUGGGGGAAACAACGACACCAAAGUCGUCUACUUCCCCAUCUGCAUGGAGGCGGCGCCACUCACAUGGCUCGAAUCGUUGGACAAGAACUCCAUCGACUCAUGCAAGGACCUCAAGGUGGUGUUCACCAACAACUACAUGGGGGCAAUGCAGCGUUCAGGCAACUGGAUCGACUUGUCUUAGGUGAAGCAACAAGAAAGCAAGACCCUGCGAAGCUACUUACAUUGCUUCUUCGACAAGAAGGCCACAAUCGUGGAUGUCAUGGAGCGUGACUUCGUUGACCGCUUCCAGAAUGGCCUCCACGACCGCUAGAUGUUUUAGGACAUCGGCAAAAGAUGCUUCGCUGAUGUGAAAUCUCUCAAGAUCAUGGCAUGGACGUGGGCAGAUGAAGAAGAUAGGGAGAUCGAAAGGUUCGAGUUCAAUCGCAACAAGGGCUAGAACAACAACAAUCAGAACAACGGCCAACGCAACAACAAGAACUGCAACGAUCGCCCCAGCAAUGACAACUGAAAUAACUACUUGGGAAGUAAGAACCACUUGCGUAAGCUAGACAAUACUGUCACGGAAAUCUCGCAGUCGUCCAAGAAAGGUGGCAGCAAGAACCAAGAUAAACCCUCAUUUAAUGAGCUCUUGAAGAAACAGUGCCCAUGGCACCCAUACCACAAGCAUGCUGCGUUAGACUGUUUCAGUCUACGCAGAGUCAUGAAGGACCUGCCAGAGCUAUCUGGUACCAAAGACAAGGGAAAGACCAAGAAAGACAAAGAUGAUGGUGACAAUGGUAAGUUCUAGAACCCAUCCAACACCAUCAACGUCAUCUUCGGUGGAACCCCGGGUACUGCCACUAAGCAGUUCUAGAAGCUGACUCUUCGAGAGAUAAUGUCCAUUGAACCUGCGGUGCCAACAUUCCUCAAAUGGUCCGAGGUGCCAAUUACCUUGUCCAGAAAGGACCAAUGGACUAGUUUCUCAGACCCAGGAUAGUAUCCCCUCGUCCUGGACCCGGUCGUCGCUGGCUCAAGACUUACCAAAGUACUCAUCGACGGCGACAACGGUCUCAAUAUCCUGUUCGCCAAUACACUGAAUAAGAUGGGCCUCGACAUCACCGAAUAUGAUCACACCAAGAAACUCUCCAUUUUAUGGGAUUGUCCCAGGCAACAUGGUUGUAGCCCUCGAACAGGUGGUUUUGCCAAUUACCUUUGGGACCAAAGAACACUACCGGACAGAAUACAUCCGGUUCGAGGUGUUGAAUUUCAAAACAUCACAACACACCAUGCUCGGAAGACCAGCAUUGGCUAAAUUCAUGGUCAUCCCACACUACGUGUACUUAGUACUCAAGAUGCCAGGAUCCAAGGGAGUAAUCUCCCUGUGCGGAGACUUGAAGAGGUUGUACAACUGCGACACAGAAGCCAUGGAGCUAGCAGCAAUUACUCAAGUACCAAACUUGAUGAUGCAAGUCUUCACUGCAUCCAAGAAGUUGUCUCCAUCAGUGCUCGAGAUUCUAGAAAAGAAGUCGGGGGCAACCAAGGGCAAGCUAGCAAGUGAACUAGACAUCAAAGCCUUUGACCUUAAGACUGGUGACAGCUUCAAGACAGCCCUGAUUGGCAUAGGGCUAGGUCCUAAAUAGGAAGGCGCGCUUGUCAGGUUCCUUCGGGCCAACCAAGACAUCUUCACGUGGAACCAACAGACAUGUCGUGGGUGCCCAGGAGUUGAUCGAGCACUCACUCAACAUGAAUCUAAUAGCUACACCAAAAAGGCAACACCUACGAUGAUUUGCCCAAGACAGAAGGGAAGCCAUCAAGAAAGAGCUGGCCAAACUACUCGCGGUGAGCUUCAUAAAAGAAGUCUAUCAUCUAGAGUGGCUCGCCAAUCCCAUCCUAGUGUGAAAGAAAAAUAACAAAUAGUGGAGGAUGUGUGUUGACUACACAGACCUCAACAAGCACUGUCUAAAGGAUCCCUUCGAGCUCCCUAGGAUUGAUCAAGUCAUUGACUCCAUAGCUGGAUGUGCCCUACUCUAUUUCCUCGAUUGAUACUUAGGGUAUCACCAAAUAGCUCUCAAGGAGGAAGACCACAUUAAGACCGCGUUCAUCACCCUAUACGGAGCUUUCUGCUACACAACAGUGUCUUUCAGGUUGAAGAACACAGGAGCUACUUAUCAACGGGCAGUCCAGGAGUGCUUCAAGAAGCACCUACACCGCAACAUGGAGGCGUACGUGGACGACGUGGUCAUAAAGACCAGAAAUCCCGACGACCUGAUUGCGGAUCUAGAAGAAACUUUUGCAAGUCUGCAAGAGUUCCGAUGGAAGCUCAACCCGACAAAUUGUGUCUUCUGCAUACCUUCCGGGAAACUACUCGGGUUCAUCAUUAGUCAUCGAGGCAUUGAAGCUAACCCCGAGAAGAUCUCCUCCAUCACCGAUAUGCAUGCCCCAUCAGGCAUCAAGGACAUCCAGAAGCUGACUGGAUACAUGACGGCCCUCAACAGAUUCAUCUCAAAGCCCCAACUAGUAUGAUGUGAUCCCUCCUCAAAUCCCCCACGGAUUCGACUUGAAUUUGUAGUUUUCCUAAAGACUUGAGUUCUUGGUAGGGUUUCAGUGUUCUCCAAAAUUCGUUAUGAAUACUUAAGCUUUUCGAAGUGAGCCUUUGGGAAUAACCUGGUAUGUUGUUAUAAGUUUAUGGUUCAAAUUUUGUAAUUUUUGGAGGUCGUUUGAUCAAGUUUUGAAUUGUUCCGACUUGUUCACGCAGACUGUUUUUGGAGCUGCGGAAUAUUCCAAAGAAUUUUCCGAAAAAUUCUGUAGGUGCGAAGAUUUUUUCGGAAAUUUCGUAGGUGUGGAUUCUCCAAAGGUUUGUGCAGAUUCUCCGGAAGUUGCGGAUUAUUCCGAAGAGUUUUGCGGAGUUUCCGUACUUUUGUGUUGGUUUUCCAAUCUCUUCUUCCGACACUUGUUUGGGUUUUCUUUCUCGCUUCCGUUAGUUUCUAAUUUGGUUCCUAGCACCAUUUCUAGAUCCAUUAGCUCUUGCAUAGCUAAGGGGACUUGAUAUUGCUAGAAGAGAGGUUUGUGGAUUGGUUUGAGACUAUAGCCGAGGUUAUUUGAAGAAAUUUGAAUUGGCUCCCAUUCACCACCCUUUGGUCGCCCGUUCCGAUCCUUCACCGUAGAAUCCUUGCUUUUGCUAUUUAUUUAGGUUUCAUCCGUUUCCAUUGGACCCAGAAUCCUUGCUUUUGCUGUGUAGGUUUCAUCUGGUUUAGUUUUCUGUUGGUACAUGGACAUAUGCUUGUACAAAAUCCUUGCUUUUGCUUAUCAUCUAUAAUCAUUGUUUGCACACCGAAGCAUUUUUUUAAACUUAGAUGCACUCUUGUACAGGAAAACAGAUCUUGGAGGAAUGCUGGUGAAAUAAGUAGGGAUGGAAUUUUGGGGCGAAGCAGCUAGAAGUUCCAGGGGAGGGUGAACUUGCAACCACAAGCCUAACAUCAUCUGGAUAUUCUAUCAGAUAGCAUCCACACAAAGAUACAUAGAAGUACGCAGCAAAGCGCCGCCAGCGACGUCAGCACGCCCUUGUGCCCCUGCAGAUAACGUCCAGAGGAGCCUGUCGGCAGCAACCUGUCGAGGUACUCGCUGACAGUGGUGUACUCGACGUCCGGGUAGAGCUCGCCGGCGGCCGCCCCCAGCGACGGCUCGAUCUUGAAGUUUGUCUCCCCCAGGAUGUACGCCGCGUGCCCGAUCGAGAGCGCGAUGCCCAGCGCGUGAGAAGCCUCUGCAGAAUCAUUUUUCCCCCCUUAACAUUUCACAGCAAGUAAAUACAAUGCAGAUGCUGUCUUCUCAGGAAGAACCAGAACCAGGCGUGUCCUACUGACCUCGGAUCAUCUUGAGGACGGCGUCCUCGGCGACGUACACCCGCAGGAACGUCCGGCCGGUCUUCUUCUCCCACAUCGACAGCAGCUCGUUGUGCGACAGCGUGUUGGCCGGCGGCUUGACGUACAGCAUCCGGCCCGCCGCGCGGGGGUCGGCGGCGGCCCGGACCGUGUAGGCACCGACGUCCUCCUCGGCCACGUACGACACCUUGGUGUCGCCGCCGCCGAGGACGACGGCCUCGUCGGCGGGGGGCGCCGGGGACAGCACCUGCCCGACGCUGGGCAGCGCGGCGCCGGCGAGGUACCCGCACAGCACGUAGGUGUGCGGGACGCCCGCGGCCUCCACGGCGCGCCGGACGGACGCCUUGCUGGCGUAGACGGUGGACCUCGCCGGCUCCACGGCGGCGGUGUGGUCCACGUCCGUCCAGAACUCCGACGGCAAGAACCUCUGCACGUAAGCAUUUACAAGCACGCCGGCCGCGAGCGAGCUUGCGGUCAACGAAUCACUGAAUCGAAGCAUCGAAGGCAGUGCAGUGAUGCGAGUAAACAAAGGUUGCUACCUUGACGCCGCCGGCGUCCUUGAUGGCGGCGAUGAGCCGGGUCUGGUCGGCGAUCUGCCGCGUCCCGAGCGCGGAGAUGACGACGUCGGCGGCCUUCAUGGGGCGCACCAGGCUGGUGUGGUCGUAGAGGUCGCCCUUGACGAGCGUCACGCCGGCGUCACGGAAGCUCCGGAGCAGCGCCGCCUUGGCCGGGUCGGAGGGGGCGGUGUCCCUGACGAGCGCGGCGGUGGGGUGGCCCAGCCGCGCGCUCGCCGCCACGAUGUGCCUGCCCAGGCGGCCCGUGCCGCCGAUCACCAGGAUCCUAGUCUCCUCAUUAGGGGACAUCUUGGUUCCUUUGCUUGUGAGUAGUGACCGAUCGAUCGAUUCGCGGCUCACCGAGAAGAGUGAGUGAGUUCGCUAGACUCGACGUGUGUGGCCGGUUUAAGAAGGGACCUGUCUGCCCGUUCUUAUCGUGAUCGGGAGUGACUCAUUAUUAGCCGAUUUCAAUGCGCCAACAUUGAUAUCGAUAUAGUUAACUACCACGCGAAACACGGGCAACAAUAUAGAAAUACAGCUUCGUUUCAAAAAAAAAAAAUAUAGAAGUACAGCAUAAAUCAACAGUUGAUGAUGUUCCCACUCCAUGGCUACGGUUCAAUUUGAGUGCUGUUGUCAGGAAAUUGACAAAUCUUCUUCUUCUUUAUGUAACUGUACAAUGCAAAUGGUUUUAUUUUUUUCUUCUUCUUGAUGGUGAAAUGGUUUCAGUCUGAAAUCCGUUUGAAAAUGAAUCCUCUAAUGCAUAUUUGGCUAAACUCUGUGGCUUCAGAUUAUGAAUCCAACUGCUUAAGAUGGUGUUUGGCAUCACUCCAAAAACCAGCUCUACUCCACCAGCUCCACACUUUUCCAGCUCCACUCCACCAACUCCAGAAAACUAUGAAGCUGCUGUACACAUUUGGUUGUUUAUAGUGCUCCAACUCCAAAAAUACAAGAAUUUGGUGGGAAAGUUCUAUUUUACCCAUGAUGGAUAGCUGGUUCUGUUUUUAGCAUUGUGGAGACUCCUUUAUUUAUUUUGACGUGCUGCAGUAAUUCGCUACAGGAAUUAUUUUUUAAAAAAAUGUCCAACCCGAUAAUGUUUUGCCAAAUGAAAAGUCACAACAAAUACGGUACAAAAUCAACCUUGCCAUUACAAACUACUUCCAAGGAAGAGAGUGCGGUGGCUAGCUCAUCACGAAAGACAUCCAUAGUUGGUGCGUUGAGUGCCGAAGUUGACCCAUCCGACGCCGCUUGUGAAACUGCAUAUUUGUUAUAUCUUUUCGGUACUGUAGGAACAAAAUUAGGAUCACGAUCAAACCGAGCAAAGUCUUCAUCUUCACCUCCAUGUUCACGAAUGAAAUUGUGAAGGACCAUGGUAGCCACAGCAAUCAUCUUUUGCUUGUACAUGGGAUAUGGUAGCAUCUUCCAAAGAAUUUGCUACUUCAUUUUUAAUAAUUCAAAAGGUCACUCAAUCACAUUGCAGAUAGAUGAGUGAAUCCGAUUGAACCUUUCCAUAUGAGUCUUAGGUUCGGUACCUUUAUGCCAUUCAGGUAAAUGAUACCUUUCACCCUUGUAAGGAGCGAGGUAGCCAGGAUGAUUAGGAUAUCCCGCAUCCACAACAUAAUAUUUGCCUAUAUUCAGAUAAAAAUAAUAUGAGUUAUGGAUUAAUGCUACAUGUUAAUCACAUUUGUAUGUUCAAAUUGAACACAUGUUACCUUGUGCAGGAUGUGGAAAAAAUCUUCAUCAACUCUGAGUGUAUUGUACAGCACACUUGUGUCAUGCAUAGUUCUAGGUUGGCCCAUGAAAAUAUAAGUGAAACGCAUGUCAAAGUCACAUACUGCUAGUACAUUUUGAGUGGCUACCCUAGUUUUUCCAAUAUACACUUGCUCAUAAUGUGAAAGAGUGACACGGAUAUGAGUGCCAUCAAGUGCACCAAUACAAUAUUUGAAAUGUGGAUAUGCACAUUUGUCAUAUCUUAUCCUUUUAUGGACCGUGGAGUAGUUGAAAUUUUUUGGUCUAAUGUAAUCUUUUGCCAUAACCAUCAAAGCAUUUAGAACCUCAUCAAAUUUCCUACUAAUAGUUUCACCUGAAUGCUUAAAUCUAUUUUGAGCUCUCCUAUUAGACUCGUUUCCAACACAUGUGUAUAGGAACAUAGCAAGCAUCUCAUAUGUGGUUAUGUGCAUAGAAGAUUGCAGCCCAUACCUUUUCAUCAUGUCAGAAUUUGCCACUUCAUCUAAUCUGUCAUGUACACUCAUUAUAUAAGAAGCAAAUCAUAGUACAACUGUUUAGCUUAUGCAUGUCAUGUACACUCAUUAACCAAAAAUGUAAAACCUAAUCCCUUACCACACCCUCCUACAUUACAGAAGUAUUUUGUGAGAUGCUCUAUUAAAAAAAUGAAGUAUUUUGUAUGAUUCAAUAUUCUAUUAUUAACCAUGAGAUGAAAGCAUCCAGUUACAUUAAUUUGCUACUUUCUUGAAUGAUCACAAUUCACUAUACAGAGUUUGUCAUCCACAAGCAACACAAGAAAGCAACACAAGAAAGUUUAACCGGUUGCUACCAAUUUCCAUUCACAUUCUGAAUUUGAAUAGGAUGCUCAGUUUGCAUUACCGUGUCAGGAGCAUUUCUUUUUUAUGCCUUCUUCAACCCUGUGUGUUGUGCAGCAGAGACGGCAACAUCUUGGGCGGUGGGCUUGCUGCCAAGCCCGGCCACAUCCUCACUGCCAAGCCCGGCGCCUGUAACAACUCUACCUAAAUUAAGUGCUUUAAUCCUAAACCAGUGUCAAUUAAACCCCUAAGCUACGAAGUGAAAUGACCUUUUUAAACCUAAGAAGCUCUCUUUUGGAGUUUGUUUUAAAGCUUGAAAUUCUAUAUACAAACUUAAGUUUCUGCCCAAAUAAGAGUUGUAAAACUUUUAAUUUCCCACAACUUUUGUUAAAGGCACCUUGUCUAAGUCGGAGUGGAAAGGAGUCAGAAACAGCAACCCAAGCCGGUUCUCCUGCAGGACCCUGAAAAUCUUUUAAGUCCUGGAAUUUGAGUUUUCCUCCAUCUUUGCAAGCUUUCAUCUCCCGUUUUCCUAUCUAAACUCGAGUCAGAGCCUUAAUAGAAGUUGUAGUACCUCAAGAGUGUUCCAGCUUUGUUACACUGACCCAGAUCCAAAUCGGGCCCGAACUUGUUCAAAAUCCCGGUCAAAGUGAGGUAAACCAGUCAACUCACCCCGGAUGCUUAAAAAUCCUAAGUCUGGAAUCCCAGAUUUUUGGCUAAUUUUGGCCGGAAAUAUCUUUGAAUCCUUUCACAACCUAAACCGACACCUUAAACAAAGUUUGAAGGAUUACCAGAGUUGAACAAGUUUGUUUAAGGGCGUUUCGGGUGUUGUGUUGAAAGAUUCGGAGAAGGAUCGCUCCAAAGCUGGUCUGGCUUGCAGCCCGAAGGGAGCCUCGACGCUCGCGCGCCCGAGCAUGUUCGCUCGCGCGCUGCGUGGCCGCCGGCCACCAGCAGCUCGCCGGCGCCCUAUCCCCAGCGCGACAGCGACCGGACAAGAGCCACGGUGCCCAACCCGCACCCGCGACAGGACGGAGCGAGCGAAGGGCUAGCCAAUCGUCGGCCGAGCGCAAGUCACCUUCCGUCUGCCACGCUCUGCUCCGCCAAUCCUGUUCCGCCCGUUCGCCGAGGAAGCUGAGAUGCCCCCGACAUCCCGCGUCUCCGCCCGCUCGCCCAACCCCCGCGGUAGCCUUUCCGCAUCGCCCGCCCGACAGACCGGAAGCCCCACACGCUCGCCGCCCAAGGCCAAUCGCCGCCGAAGACCACCCGGAGCUCCGCCUCCUCUGCCCAAUAGCGUCGUCGGCCAAUGGCCGCCUCGCUCAAGCACUCGCCGCUCCCGGCCUUAUCCUUUCCCCACCGGAGCCCCGCCUCGACCCUCCGCGCCACCCCGGGCCUAUAAAAGGGGACCCCCUCACCGGCAAUGCCACCCCUUGCCACCGCCCGCACCUGCGCCGCCGCUUUCUCCUCUGCGCCCUGCCUUCUCCUCUGAGCCACCGCUUUCUUUCCGCGCCGUCGCUGAGCUUCCGUGGAGCUCACCCCCUUGCGCCACCACCACACUCCGGCGACUUCGCCGCCACCCCAAGCCGCUUCAUCCGACACACCCGCCGCUGCUCCUCCGCGCGGUACUAGAGCUUGCUUGUGUCCACCAGAAGCACGCCGCCGCCGGACCACCGUCGAAGUCUCGCCGCCGCCCAAGCCUUCGUGCAUACAACCUUCCCGCCCCAGCCUGUUCCUGUUCGGCCCCAAGGCAUCGCCGGUAGACAUGGAGGUAAGCUACUUAACCUCCCUGUCUUUCCGUCCCGCCCGACCCCUGUCCUUGUUCGGUUCGUCCGACCCCUCUCCGUUCGGUUCGUCCGACCCCUUUGUUUUGGUUCGUCCGAACCCUUUGUUUCGGUUCGCCCGACCCCUUUUCUUUUCGUCUCGCCCGACCCUGCCAAGUUUCGCCGACCCUCUCUCCGCCUCGCCCGAGGGCUCGGUUGUAAUUCUUUUUCUUUGACCCGAGGGUAUCGGUGAAAUGUUUUCGGGGAUUCCUCUGUGUUGAGUCUGAGGACCUCGGUACGGUUUUCCUUAAACCUGAGGGUCAGACCCUAAGUUUUCCCCAAUCCGACCCUUCCAUCCUGCUCUCCACAUGCAGAAGUUGAACUCCCCCACCUUUCCUGUAGCUUUGCUACAAGUGUCCAUGUUAAAGCAUGAGAAUGUUGAAAUAACUAUCUAAAAUGUUUAACCCCUGCAUUGCAUUUCCGUGUAGAGUUGAAUCUCGCCAACGGGACGUACGAGCUUCAUCCAGCCCCGGAAGAAGACCCUGCCGAGGAACAACUGCACCCCUUCGAAGGAGAGCCCGAGCCAGCGCAAGACCCCGAGGACCCCCAAGCUUUUUCUGAAGGCAAGCCCCGGUGCAUGAACUCCCUGUUUUGCUUUCAUGCCAUUGAUUGAUUACUUGAUUGCGCAUUUACGUUUCGAGGAGUUGUAAUGGAACCUUAGAUGCAUAACUUAGUACCUUGUUUUGAAUACUAGUCUCUAAGGCCGAGUAGUUGCAUUGCUUAAUAGGUUUCGGUAAAAGUCGAGUGAUCUCCUGUCACUCGCGAGUUAUAGGAGUUGAAUGUUUCAGUUUUGUCGCAACUAUAAGGACGACGGACGGGGUCAGGCUUGUGUUCGAUGCUUGGUGGAUUGCCCCAUCUGUCUAAAUGAAAACGAACUAAGGUCGAAACAUGUCGGCGUUCGUGAUCAAGUGAUUGAAAGUACUAAUCUCAUACCUAGUAUGGGAUGGGGAAGCCUAGUACCUGAUUGAACUGGGGCGUGGCAUACCUUCCAGCUGUCCUUGGAACGUCGUUCCCAUGGUGCAUCAUGUGGGUGCAAGUGCGGUCACAGUGCAGCACUAGGCCGGGACUGUGGAGCAUUGCAUGCCAAAGGAAGUUGGCCCUGACACGUGCCUAAGGGAUCGAUGGGGACGGUUGACAAAUGAAGCAACCCUUCGUGGUGCGCGGAUGUCGUGAGAUUAGGUUUGCCAUGCAUGGUUAAUAAAUUCGAAUCGAUUCGUCUGCCUCUCACAGAUUGGGACUACUUGAUCGCUAUGCUGCACUGAGUAAGGAUGGAACAUGAUGAGGUUUUAAAUCUUGAUGUUUGAUAAGUAAUUGCCUGGAAACCAUGUUUGUUUAGUAUAAGUUGCUAAUUUAGAAUGGAUAAAGAACAUAGAACAUGAGCUAAAAGGUUGAAAGUAAGGACUAACUUUAGACGCUUUUGGCAAGAAAAACCCCAGAGCCAGAAAGCCUUGCAUGUUUAGGUCUCGGUCGUGUCCUUCCGACGGAUCAGUCUUGCUGAGUACUAGUUGCUCAGCCUUGUUGUGGCUAAUCUUUUUCAGGUAAUAUCAGUAGAUUUGGUGUUGGUACCACUUGGCCGACCUAGCUUCCUCCAGGCUGGACCGUCGAGUGGGAUCCUUCCUCGGACGGUGAAGGGAGAAAUUUUUGAUGUCAUGAUCGGCUCCGUCAUGAUGUCUUGUAUCGACGUUUAGCUUACGCUAGUUUUAAUUUGACCUCGAACCAUGCAAAAUUUCGGUUGAAGUUCCAAAACUCUGAUGUAAUAAAUUGUUGAACUAUGUUGUCAUGAUGGGAUGUUGUAAUCUCUGUGCUACUCACCUUCGCGUGAGCGAUGCUUCUCAAUCCUGUUUACGUGGUUUAUCGGAGGAAAUCCGACGGUCAACCAAGUUGACUUGCUUAAAGUGCAUAAUCGCAUGUCAGGCGACUUCAAUGCAUUUUAGUCAGGUUAAUUUGGGCGGUUCCGCCACAGCUGGCAUCAGAGCUCGAAGCACAGUACGGAGAACAAUAAACCUUAAAACUCUUUUUCUAACUAAAAUUUACAAGAAGUAAAAAUCAAGAAGCUCGUAAGUUCGCUAAGGAUGAGUAUAGUUCGAGGAGCCCUAGGGGAUUUUGGGAUUGUUUUUAAGGUGGCUAAUAGUUAUUGGUUAUCUUCUAACUUCCAGCACUUUUUGACACGUCUAUCAUACGUGUGCAUGAUUCCGCAUCGCGAGUAUGCGAAGGGUGAUGGGAAUUCAAUUCCAACGAGCCUAUCGUCACGGUUGUUCGCCCACGUUUGUUACACGUGUGCAUGAUUCCGCAUCGCGAGAAUGCGAAGGGUUAUAGGAUUCUAUUCAAAGGAACCUAUUUCCACGGUUGUUGCGCUGUCCAUGCAGCGUUAAACGCAUGGGUGCCGUUUCUAUAGCGAACGGUAAUGAUUGUGGACGCUUUCGUGAGUGCUGGCACGGAAGGUUCAAGCUGUGUUGUGUUUUUCUGCAGGUACACUAACAAAGGUUGCAUUCGAAAUGAUGCCUAGUAACUCGACUAGUUAUUAUAGUGAGGGUCGUAUUGUUGCCUUGCCACCGGCACUAACCACGUAAGUCCAAAGAUUUUUGGCAAUUAUUUUUGGUUGAGAGGACGACUAAGACGUGCAUGCAUUCAAACUCGAGUACGUCGUAAAACGUAAUGCACCGCAUUAAGGAUUGUCUAGCUGUCUUUUUCCGCCAUGAUAACUCUAGAAACUUUGUAUAAGCAAGUCGUGUUAAAACACUCAAGUAAAACUGCCACCAGGUACUAACUUUUGGGUUGAGAGUUGUGAUCAGUUGGUGACCCCCUGUUGGCUGUUAGCCCAAAGUGCACACCAGCGGAGUUUCUGCUGUUUCGACCACCCUAAGGACCUUUUCAGUGAGGAGCCCUUUAAGCAAAGUUUUUCAGAACUUAGUGAAGGACUUACUGGUAGAGUUUCAGCUUUGUUGAGUCUCUGGCUUGGAAGUUGUGUUCAGUUUAUCUUGACUCAGUCUAAAGAGUUCCAGCAGGUACACUUAAUGGGAAUCUGAGAUCAUCACCUCGUUAGGUUCUGUUCUAGCCCUACCUUUGAAUACCAAACUUGUUACACGCUAUCUAAAGAACCUGCUAGUAAAAUUUGAGAAGUUUUGGAGGAAUACUUGAUGAGUUAUGAGCUUUCCUCUAACUGCUAGAAAUCUAUUUGAUUUCCAAGUGUUAGCUCCGUUCUCACUUGACCUUUGGUUACAGAUGGCGCAGCCCGUGCACGUUGCAGUCGGCACGGAUGGCACCACCUACUCAUGGUGCCUUCACUACGAGGGUUUUCCAGCUGUGUUGUGGGACACUCUGCGCUCUUUCGGGUAUCAGUCGCCACCGGUUUAUGCGGGCCGUGCGUACCAGGACCACGGGAUUCCGCGGAGCCGCGUACAUGUGCGGGUAUCCCCACAUCCAGAUCAGCCACAGUGGCCACUGUUGGAGGUAGUGGCUGAGGGACACACGCUCCACGACGCCUGGGAGUUCGGAGCCUUGCAGACAUUGACCCAGUUCUGCCGGGCACACCCUCUUGAGAUCGUGCUAGACCCGAUUGGGUUGUUCCCUGCCCGGGAUACGAGGGACCCGGACUGGUUGGACCGUAUGGAGCAUAUGGACUUGCUCGGACUUAUGAAUCCUCAGCGCACGAUUUUUGUUUCAGCUCGCUGCCUGAAUGUGUUCUACAGGAUGGUUGAGCUGCAGAGCCGAGCAAUGGCCACGGUGAUUAGGAUGGCAGUGGCCAACCAGGUUGCGUUGUCUACCGUGCAGAGUGGCAUGGUGGACCAGUCGCUCGAGCUGGUACAGAAGGAUGUUCAGAUUGCUGAGAUGCAGGACAAGAUUACUAGUUUAGAGGAAGAGAUUGUAGACAUGGAGCACGAUAUGGAGAUCUUGGCUGACCAGUUCUAUGAUGUGAACAUGGAGCUGGCGAACGCCAAUGAGCACUUACAAGAACAUCAUGAUGAGCUAAAUGUCAUCCACGCCCUGGAGGUGCAGCUAGAUGAGCAGAUGGCCCAGGAGGAGGAGCCUGAGGAGAUCAAAGGCUUUUCGAGCAUGGACUAUGAGAAUGCCUCACCGCAGCCUCCAGUUGGUGACGCUCACUCACCGGCCCUUAGCUUUGCCUCCGUGGGCAACCUCGACGACUUCUAGUUAUGACAAACUAGGUUGAGCGGUUCUUUUGUCUUUGUUUGUACUCCUCGGCGACCUAUAUUUUUGGCCAGUGAUGUAAUAGGUUAGCCUUGAGUUGAGUACUCCUCCUGUAUGUAAGACCAGCAAUGAAAUGAUCUUAGUGAAAGCAGUUCCUUUUGUUUUCGCUCCCUUUGACUCUACUUCUGAUCUUUGUGACACACCGUGGAUGCCAAGUUGUGUGGGUUUUAGUGCUGUGAUCACACACCCGCCUCCUGUGGGCCUGUCCAAAGCUGGCCGACCCCGGGUCGCGAGGUCGGACGCGCCCGACCCCUCGCGGCAGGUCUCCGCCUCGCCCGACCCCGGGAUGACAGUCUCCGCCUCGUCCGACCCCAUGUUGGAAGGUCUUCGCCUCGCCCGACCCCGGCACCAGAGGUCGGAAUUUAGUGGGGCACCGAGGAUAAGGUUUUGCUCGCCCAAGGGUGUGUGCAGACCAACCAGGGAAACACCGGAUCUUGUGGACCCUACAAAACAUGGAUCCAAAUACCUUUCCGAUCGGUAACAAGGAUAAAAUGACGCUGCAGAAAACGGGCUAGUUGCUAGCUAAGAUGUGUGCACCUCCUUAUAAGGAUAUGUGUUGUGUUGCAAAAGUUGCAUCCGUGGAUUUAACACGUGCAUUCCCACAUUUUAUUGGGAAUACUUCUGAGGUUAUGGAGCUAAUGGAAAGGUGAAUCUUGCAGAUGGCGCAUCGCACACGCUCCGGCUUUGUUCCCAGUGGCAGCGAGGUGCCUCCCCCACCUCCGCCUCCGACCACCCUCGAGUCGAUCUUGGCAGCCCAAACCGAGCUGUUGAGGCACAUCGCUCAGGGGCAGCAGCAGCAGCCCCAAGGAGGAAGGGCCCAUCAUCAGCCACACGUUGCUCGUUAUGAGGAUUUUCUGGGGACCCAGCCUCCUCUGUUUCACAAGACGGAGGACCCACUUGACGCCGAUGCCUGGAUUCGCGCUAUCGAGUCCAAGUUCUCCCUUCUCACCGCAGUUCGCCCGGAUGAGAACAAGGUUCGGUUCGCUGCGCAGCAGUUGCGUGGUUCUGCUCUCCUGUGGUGGGAAAACUACCACGCCAUGCAGUCGGCCGACCACGUCGUUGCCUGGGAGGAAUUCAAGACAGCGUUCAGGGGUCAUCACAUCCCUGAGGGUCUUCUAGAGCGCAAGCUCAACGAGUUCCUGGUUCUCACCCAGGGAGGCCGCGAUGUCCUGCACUAUGCGCAGGCUUUCAACGACCUGUGUCGCUAUGCAGGCUAUCAUGCGGACUCCGAUGAAAAGAAGAGGGACCGUUUCCGCAGAGGCUUGAGUUUGGAGCUCAAGGAAAGGCUGAACCCUAUCAAAGUGGGUUCCUACAAUGAACUGGUGAACCUGGUAAUUUCCCAGGAAGAUUGCAUGAAGGCUCUCAAGGCCGACAUGAAGAGAAAGGCCCCAAUGCCGGCACCCAGCCCGCCUGCCCAGAAGUACAGAAUGGUUCCCCCACAAGCGCCUCGCAGGCCUGCACAGCCUGGGAGAUGGGUUGCUCGACCUCCACCGCAGGCAGCACCUCGUUUCCCAGGUUUCCAGCCACAAGGGCCCCGUCCUGCUCUCCCGAUGCCACUACGCCCGGUCCCUGGAAACCGCUGUUUCACUUGCGGGAACUCAGGACACUUCGCCAAGGAAUGCCCCCGCAACCAGAACCCGGUCAAAGCAAUACAUCAGGCAACAAGGGGAAGAAGCCAAAGGUGCAGGUCCGACAAGGCAGGCUGAACUUCACCACCCUUGCUGAACUUCCAGAGGGCGCACCAGUGAUGACAGGUACCUUUUCUAUCUGUGAUCAACCCAUCCUUAUUUUGUUUGAUUCAGGAGCAUCCCAUAGUUUCAUUGGGAUUAGAAUCAGUGCUAAGUGUGGGCUAGAUUUCUGUCACACAAAAGGCACCUACCUAAUCUCUACCCCGGGUGGAAAGGUAGCUUCACACCAAGUGAGCCGCAAAGUACCUAUCCAGUUAGGAAGGACCCUCCUUAAGGAAGACCUGCUUACCCUUGGGAUAGAAGGAAUAGAUGUUAUCUUGGGUAUGGAUUGGAUGACCCGACACCGAGUGACCCUAGAUAUCCCUGCCAGGGCAAUCCACAUAAAUUCACCCAAGUAUGGUAGCUCCACCAUACGCUUACCUCCCCGAGAGUGCCAACCUUCUUGUGCCUAUCCCGUGUCUGAAGCCCGUUUGGAAGAUAUCCCAGUGGUGUGCGAGUACCCGGAUGUGUUUCCAGAUGAUUUGCCGGGCAUGCCGCCUGAGAGAGACAUCGAGUUUGCCAUUGAGUUGCAACCAGGUACCGCCCCAAUCUCAAAGAGACCAUAUCGGAUGCCACCUGCCGAACUGGCAGAAAUGAAAACUCAGUUGCAUGAUUUGUUGGAAAGGGGUUUUAUUCGCUCAAGUACAUCACCUUGGGGUUGCUCUGCCUUGUUUGUGAAAAAGAAGGACGAUAGUCUGCGAAUGUGUGUCGACUACUGACCCCUCAAUGCGGUGACGAUAAAGAACAAGUACCCCCUACCUCGCAUUGAUGUUCUGUUCGACCAAUUAGCUGGAGCUAGAGUGUUUUCCAAAAUUGACCUCCGUUCUGGCUACCAUCAAAUUAGGAUCCACCCGUGUGACGUUCCAAAGACUGACUUCUCUACACGCUAUGGACUCUACGAGUACUUAGUCAUGUCGUUUGGGCUUACUAAUGCACCGGCUUAUUUCAUGUACCUCAUGAAUUCGGUGUUUAUGCCCGAACUCGACAAAUUCAUCGUGGUUUUCAUUGACGACAUCUUGGUGUACUCGAAGAAUGAACAAGAACAUGCAGAGCACCUACAUACUGUACUCCAACGCUUAAGAGACCACCAACUCUAUGCCAAGUUCUCCAAGUGUGAUUUUUGGCUGGACAGUGUUAAAUUCUUGGGGCACACCAUAUCCAGAGACGGUAUAGCAGUAGACCCAAGCAAGGUGCAAGAAGUAAUGGACUGGAAGCCGCCCGCUUCAGUUCAUCAGAUUCGAAGUUUUCUUGGUUUAGCUGGUUACUACCGUUGCUUCCUCCCUGACUUCUCAAAAAUAGCCAAGCCAAUGACGGAACUGCUGAAGAAAGGGAGUAAGUUUGUGUGGAGUGACAAAUGUGAAGAGGCUUUCCACACCUUGAGGCAACUAUUGACUUCGGCGCCAGUUUUAGCUCAGCCUGACACCACUAGGCCAUUUGAUGUGUAUUGCGAUGCCUCUGGCACUGGACUUGGUUGUGUUCUUAUGCAAGACAGCCGAGUCAUCACCUAUGCCUCGCGAGCAUUACAGCCACAUGAGUUGAACUACCCUACUCAUGAUCUUGAGUUAGCGGCAGUCGUUCAUGCUCUGAAAAUGUGGAGACAUUAUCUCAUGGGAACCCGAUGCAACAUCUAUACAGAUCACAAGAGUCUUAAGUAUAUAUUCACUCAAGCAGAUCUCAACAUGCGUCAACAGAGAUGGUUAGAAUUAAUCAAGGAUUAUGACCUAGAAGUGCAUUAUCACCCAGGAAAGGCCAACGUAGUUGCAGAUGCACUCAGCCGCAAGGUCCAUUGUAACUGCUUAUCGGCGGUCAAUUAUGCCGAGACCCUGUGUCACGAAAUGGCUAAACUCAACUUGGAAAUUGUUCCACACGGCACCUUGAGUCAUAUUUCUCUGGAGCCCGCCCUGCUUGACCAAAUAAUUCUAGCACAGCUAGAGGACCAAGAUGUAAACCUUAUCAAAGAGAAACUUGCACAGGAGGACGAAGGAUAUAAACAUUUCCGACGGGAUUGGAAAGGAGUAGUAUUUUAUGAAACUCGACUUGUAAUUCCAAAUGAUCCCGACCUUAAGAAACAAAUUUUGGACGAAGCACACCUGUCCAAGUUCUUGAUUCACCCCGGCAGUACCAAGAUGUAUCACGACCUCCGACAAAAUUUCUGGUGGAGUGGGAUGAAACCCGACAUUGCUCGAUACGUUUCAGAGUGCGAUACCUGUCAGCGAGUUAAGGCAAGCCACUUGAGGGUAGCUGGCCCCUUGCAGCCGCUGCCCAUUCCCUCGUGGAAAUGGGAAGACAUAAGCAUGGACUUUAUAGUCGGAUUACCCAAUACCUCCCGCAAGCAUGACUCCAUAUGGGUUAUAGUAGAGCGACUAACCAAAACCGCACAUUUCCUUCCAGUACACACCACCCACACCAUACAGAGAUAUGCAGAACUGUACCUUGAUCGGAUUGUUUCCUUGCAUGGUGUACCUAAAACGAUCAUCUCUGAUCGAGGUAGUCAGUUUGUAGCACGCUUUUGGGAACAGUUGCAGUUUUCACUUGACACGAAACUGAUCCGCAGUUCCACAUAUCACCCUCAGACCGAUGGGCAAACUGAAAGGGUUAAUCAGAUUUUGGAGGAUAUGUUGCGCGCCUGUGCUAUUCAUUAUGACAAGAACUGGGAUAAGUGUUUGCCAUUAGCGGAAUUCUCCUACAACAACAGUUACCAAGCUAGCCUAAAAAUGGCACCUUUCGAGGCCUUGUAUGGACGUAGAUGCUGAACCCCUCUGAGCUGGUCGCAACCCGGAGAGAGAACGGUGUAUGGACCUGACCUGGUCAUAGAGGCCGAAGAAAAAGUGAGAAUCAGCCGCGAAAAUCUCAAGGCCGCCCAAUCUCGACAGAAGAGCUAUGCCGAUCAGAGAAGGAGACCCAUCCAAUUUAAGGUUGGAGAUUUUGUAUACCUACGGGUUUCACCGACCAAAGGCGUACAACGUUUUGGAGUAAAGGGAAAGUUAGCUCCGCGCUAUAUUGGUCCCUACGAGAUCGUAGAGACGUGUGGACCCGUAGCAUACCGAGUACAGCUUCCAAAAAAGAUUGCAGCGAUACACGAUGUUUUCCAUGUCUCGCAACUCAAGAAGUGCAUCAGAAUUCCAACUGAAAUCAUUACCCCGGAAGAAUUGGAGAUUGAACCCGAUUUAUCAUAUAAGGAGUAUCCAGUUAAGAUCCUCGACCGGAAGGAAAGAUACACUCGUCGGCAAAGGGUCAAGAUGUACAAAAUUUAGUGGAGUCACCAUACGGAAGACGAAGAGACAUGGGAGACGGAAGAAUAUCUCAACGCUAACUUCCGCGGUUUUCUUUUAGAUCAAGGAGGUACGUUGCACCAGCCACACUAGUUCCUUCUGCACUUGAAUCUCGGGGCGAGAUUCCUUUAAGGGGGGUAGGCUGUAACAACUCUACCUAAAUUAAGUGCUUUAAUCCUAAACCAGUGUCAAUUAAACCCCUAAGCUACGAAGUGAAAUGACCUUUUUAAACCUAAGAAGCUCUCUUUUGGAGUUUGUUUUAAAGCUUGAAAUUCUAUAUACAAACUUAAGUUUCUGCCCAAAUAAGAGUUGUAAAACUUUUAAUUUCCCACAACUUUUGUUAAAGGCACCUUGUCUAAGUCGGAGUGGAAAGGAGUCAGAAACAGCAACCCAAGCCGGUUCUCCUGCAGGACCCUGAAAAUCUCUUAAGUCCUGGAAUUUGAGUUUUCCUCCAUCUUUGCAAGCUUUCAUCUCCUGUUUUCCUAUCUAAACUCGAGUCAGAGCCUUAAUAGAAGUUGUAGUACCUCAAGAGUGUUCCAGCUUUGUUACACUGACCCAGAUCCAAAUCGGGCCCGAACUUGUUCAAAAUCCCGGUCAAAGUGAGGUAAACCAGUCAACUCACCCCGGAUGCUUAAAAAUCCUAAGUCUGGAAUCCCAGAUUUUUGGCUAAUUUUGGACGGAAAUAUCUUUGAAUCCUUUCACAAUCUAAACCGACACCUUAAACAAAGUUUGAAGGAUUACCAGAGUCGAACAAGUUUGUUUAAGGGAGUUUCGGGUGUUGUGUUGAAAGAUUCGGAGAAGGAUCGCUCCAAAGCUGGUCUGGCUUGCAGCCCGAAGGGAGCCUCGAUGCCCGCGCGCCCGAGCAUGUUCGCUCGCGCGCCGCGUGGCCGCCGGCCACCAGCAGCUCGCCGGCGCCCUAUACCCAGCGCGACAGCGACCGGACGAGAGCCACGGUGCCCAACCCGCACCCGCGACAGGACGGAGCAAGCGCAGGGCUAGCCAAUCGCCGGCUGAGCGCAAGUCGCCUUCCGUCUGCCACGGCUCUGCUCCACCAAUCCUGUUCCGCCCGUUCGCCGAGGAAGCUGAGAUGCCCCCGACGUCCCGCGUCUCCGCCCGCUCGCCCAACCCCCGCGGUAGCCUUUCCGCCUCGCCCGCCCGACAGACCGGAAGCACCAGACGCUCGCCGCCCAAGGCCAAUCGCCACCGAAGACCACCCGGAGCUCCGCCUCCUCUGCCCAAUAGCGUCGUCGGCCAAUGGCCGCCUCGCUCGAGCACUCGCCGCUCCCGGCCUUAUCCUUUCCCCACCGGAGCCCCGCCUCGACCCUCCGCGCCACCCCGGGCCUAUAAAAGGGGACCCCCUCACCGGCAAUGCCACCCCUUGCCACCGCCCGCACCUGCGCCGCCGCUUUCUCCUCUGCGCCCUGCCUUCUCCUCUGAGCCACCGCUUUCUUUCCGCGCCGCGCUGAGCUUCUGUGGAGCUCACCCCCUUGCGCCACCACCACACUCCGGUGACUUCGCCGCCACCCCAAGCCGCUUCAUCCGACACACCCGCCGCUGCUCCUCCGCGCGGUACUAGAGCUUGCUUGUGUCCACCAGAAGCACACCGCCGCCGGACCACCGUCGAAGUCUCGCCACCGCCCAAGCCUUCGUGCGUACAACCUUCCCGCCCCAGCCUGCUCCUGUUCGGCCCCAAGGCAUCACCGGUAGACAUGGAGGUAAGCUACUUAACCUCCCUGUCUUUCCGUCCCGCCCGACCCCUAUCCUUGUUCGGUUCGUCCGACCCCUUUGUUUCGGUUCGUCCGAACCCUUUGUUUCGGUUCGCCCGACCCCUUUUCUUUUCGUCUCGCCCGACCCUGCCAAGUUUCGCCGACCCUCUCUCCGCCUCGCCCGAGGGCUCGGUUGUAAUUCUUUUUCUUUGACCCGAGGGUAUCGGUGAAAUGUUUUCGGGGAUUCCUCUGUGUUGAGUCUGAGGACCUCGGUACGGUUUUCCUUAAACCUGAGGGUCAGACCCUAAGUUUUCCCCAAUCCAACCCUUCCAUCCUACUCUCCACAUGCAGAAGUUGAACUCCCCCACCUUUCCUGUAGCUUUGCUACAAGUGUCCGUGUUAAAGCAUGGGAAUGUUGAAAUAACCAUCUAAAAUGUUUAACCCCUGCAUUGCAUUUCCGUGUAGAGUUGAAUCUCGCCGACGGGACGUACGAGCUUCAUCCAGCCCCGGAAGAAGACCCCGUCGAGGAACAACUGCACCCCUUCGAAGGACAGCCCGAGCCAGCGCAAGACCCCGAGGACCCCCAAGCUUUUUCUGAAGGCAAGCCCCGGUGCAUGAACUCCCUGUUUUGCUUUCAUGCCACUGAUUGAUUACUUGAUUGCGCAUUUACAUUUUGAGGACUUGUAAUGGAACCUUAGAUGCAUAACUUAGUACCUUGUUUUGAAUACUAGUCUCUAAGGCCGAGUAGUUGCAUUGCUUAAUAGGUCUCGGUAAAAGUCGAGUGAUCUCCUGUCACUCGCGAGUUAUAGGAGUUGAAUGUUUCAGUUUUGUCGCAACUAUAAGGACGACGGACGGGGUCAGGCUUGUGUUCGAUGCUUGGUGGAUUGCCCCGUCUGUCUAAAUGAAAACGAACUAAGGUCAAAACAUGUCGGCGUUCGUGAUCAAGUGAUUGAAAGUACUAAUCUCAUACCUAGCAUGAGAUGGGGAAGCCUAGUACCUGAUUGAAUUGGGGCGUGGCAUACCUUCCAGCUGUCCUUGGAACGUCGUUCCCAUGGUGCAUCAUGUGGGUGCAAGUGCGGUCACAGUGCAGCACUAGGCCGGGACUGUGGAGCAUUGCAUGCCAAAGGAAGUUGGCCCUGACACGUGCCUAAGAGAUCGAUGGGGACGGCUGACAAAUGAAGCGACCCUUCGUGGUGCGCGGAUGUCGUGAGAUUAGGUUUGCCAUGCAUGGUUAAUAAAUUCGAAUCGAUUCGUCUGCCUCUCACAGAUUGGGACUACUUGAUCGCUAUGCUGCACUGAGUAAGGAUGGAACAUGAUGAGGUUUUAAAUCUUGAUGUUUGAUAAGUAAUUGUCUGGAAACCAUGUUUGUUUAGUAUAAGUUGCUAAUUUAGAAUGGAUAAAGAACAUAGAACAUGAGCUAAAAGGUUGAAAGUAAGGACUAACUUUAGACGCUUUUGGCAAGAAAAACCCCAGAGCCAGAAAGCAUUGCAUGUUUAGGUCUCGGUCGUGUCCUUCCGACGGGUCAGUCUUGCUGAGUACUAGUUGCUCAGCCUUGUUGUGGCUAAUCUUUUUCAGUUAAUGUCAGUAGCUUUGGUGUUGGUACCACUUGGCCGACCCAGCUUCCUCCAGGCUGGACCGUCGAGUGGGAUCCUUCCUCGGACGGCGAAGGGAGGAAUUUUUGAUGUCAUGAUCGGAUCCGUCAUGAUGUCUUGUAUCAACGUUUAGCUUCCGCUAGUUUUAAUUUGACCUCGAACCAUGCAAAAUUUCGGUUGAAGUUCCAAAACUCUGAUGUAAUAAAUUGUUGAACUAUGUUGUCAUGAUGGGAUGUUGUAAUCUCUGUGCUACUCACCUUCGCGUGAGCGAUGCUUCUCGAUCCUGUUUACGUGGUUUAUCGGAGGAAAUCCGACGGUCGACCAAGUUGACUUGCUUAAAGUGCAUAAUCGCAUGUCAGGCGACUUCAAUGCAUUUUAGUCAGGUUAAUUUGGGCGGUUCCGCCACACUGAGACUACUCCAAAUUGACAAAGCCCGCUACACGCUCAGCGACCGGCUCCAGAUCCUCCAAAUACUGCGUGAACGCUUCAUCGCUACAAUCUCCGGUGAUACCGUAUGUGACCAACGUCAAGUUAGCGAUAGAAUACAGAAUUAUGAUCAACAAGAUACGAGUACAAGUACUCACCCUCCAAUUUUUGCUACAAGGACUUGUUGGGCGCCACCAUACGACUCCUCUCCACUUCAAAAUCAUGCCUUUUAAUUCGAAAGGACUCAAUGACAUUUUCAUACUUCUUCAGGAAGUCAGCAGUGCAGCGGUGCUCCUCAGUAAUGUCCUUCUCCAACUGCGCCACAGGGCGCGCAGCCUCACCCUGCUCUUGGACAACUUGGAUAUUCUUGAGAGAUUUUUCAUACAAAUCCUCCACAAUCAAACAAUUAGUACUCUUCACGAGUACAUAUGGUGCCAGGCUACAAAAUUAAGCACUCAAAUGCAGUACUAAGAACUCACCUGAGUAUAAGCCAUCAACUGUUGAUGCAAGUUCACAAAGUCAGAUAUCGGUGGCAGCUCAUCUAGGGGACUCUCAAAAAUUUCAACUUUCUGCGACAAUCCUGGAGCAUCGGCCACCACACUAGCCCUCACACUCGACGUUAGGAUUAGCUUCUGAGAAAAAGAAGCUCCAACCUCUGAAACAUUCUUUUCCGCUGCUUGCUCAAGCACAGAAGUUGUCACUACAAUCUCGGUUGCAGGGGGAGGAUUGUCAUUAACAACCUCGGAGGCUGGCAGCGCCAGACCCUCAAGUGAAUAGAUUACAUCUCGCAAUAUGGCGGCUGCAAGAGUCACUGCACCUGUGUCACCAGUAUGCGCUGGGUCUUCACUUAUCAAAUCGACAACAGGUGCCGCAGCAGAAUCCGCGCCCGAUGGAUUUUCAACCUGUUCUGCGCUCACUUCUUCGAGAACAAUAUCCUCGGAAGUUCUAAUAUCAAACACGAUUCAAGAUUAAAAAAGAGACUACUGAUCGUGAAGUCGGUAAUCAAACCAUUACAAUAGAGUACUUACUUGGCCGACCGGGGAGGAACUCGACGAUGUUUCUUCGCCACGGGGACUGGAUGUACACUCGGAGCUGGCUCACUAGCCGGUACGGGUGGCAACUCCUCGGUGUUUUUGCCAAGAUCUGAAAGAACCAACUCAGAGACAACGUACGCACGACUACUACCAGUACUCGCGUACUCACCGCUAGCUGGGACUUCAGGCAAAGUGGUGUCAGAAACUGCUUCGGGCAUUUUCACAAUUCCACUUAUGGUAGUCUCUAACGAGUCGCCCGCUUCACCACUCGCAACUUCAAGAACAACGGCUACUUGAGUGGUAGCCAUCUCGGGCAUCAUGGCUGCAUCUUCAGCGGAUGUCUCCAAAGAAAUCACACUACCAGCCGCAUCCUUAGCUAUCGCGACUACAUCAUCAGAAGUAGUCUCGCCAGCUCUGUACGCUGCAUUCGCGGCUUCCUCAAUGUCUUCAUCCAUAUCAUCAACAACCUGCAAACACAAACGUCAAAACAAGUCAAUUCGACUAGUCAAGGUAAUUACCGGCGGUGGAGCCUUGAACGUCUCCAAGUGCUUGCUGACAGAUCGCUUAUGCAAUACGGUCCGUCUCUUCUUUGGCAUUGGAGCCUGGACCUCUCCAUCACCAACAUCUCCCGCUGGAUGCUUCAAGGUAUCGGUUCUAAAUUUAUAUCCUUUGAGAACUCGAGACUGCAUAGGGAAACAUGAUCAGACAACUCGGACUCAGACGAUGCAAAAUCUGAACCGCCAAGCAUCUCAGAGUCCCCAUCCUCCUCCUCCUCCUCUGAGGGAUCAUCAGGCAAGCGCACGUAGUACACAGAUUUCACGUUCUUUGCACCAUCAGCAUCAGGGUGAGGAGGAGGAGAAAAGUAUAAAAGGACAUCCUCCUGCGUAAGGAAUUACUGGUUGGCAAACAUAACGACUAUUAAUUAUGGGUACUCAAAAGGAAAGCAAGUUACCUCUCUGGGUUGAUACCAUUUGUCAAACUCCUGAAUGGACUCAUCAACUUCGGGCACUCCUUGAAAAUUCUUCAAAAAUUUGCUCAACAAGUCUUCAACCGCUUCAUUAGAUAUAUCUUCAAUAGACAUCCAAGAUGGAUCAUCAAAGCCUGAGGACUCGUAGCCCCAAGUCUAGCGCAACUGCAAUGGUUGUUCUCUUCUCUUCAAGAAGCUGGCUGCUACAUUUAUCCCUGUCAGCCCUGCUUUCUUCAAUGUUGCUAUCAUCUGCAACAACUCAGCCACUUGAUGAUUGUCCUCAAUGCUAGGCUCUUCAAGCCACUUGCUCGAGUACUUCGGGCGGUACCCGGUAAUCACUGGCAUUGGAGGCUCAUGGUUCUCAAUAUAAAACCAGUUCUAUUUCUAGACACCAUGGGACGGCAGAGUCUCAUAUUCCAGAUACACUUCGGAGUCCCUUAGCUGAAACCCUGCGCCUCUGAGUACUGCCAUUCUAUCUUGACUAGGCUGGGGCUUGCAGCAGAAAAGCUUACAAAAUAAUUGAAAAUGGGGUUGUAUUCCCAAAUAUGCCUCACAAAGAUACACAAAGAUUGCAAUGUGCAGUAUCCCAUUGGGAUUCAGAUGAACAAGCUGAAUGUCGUAAAAGUUGAGGAUACCUCUGAAGAAAUCCGAUGUUGGAAUAGCAGGUCCUCUCUCAACAAAAUGAGCCCAAAUCACUGUCUCUUUUGGAUGGACCUCAAGGUUCUAGGCAUUGGCAUAGGCGCACCUCCAAUUCACGACAACCUCCUCCUGUAGCAAUUUUACAUCCACCAACUCUUGGAUUGCUUCCUUCUUCAUGGUGGACAUCUUCCAAGUGGAUGCUUGAUUUGGCAAAGCAGUCUGAUCGGUAGGCCCACAUUUGGGUGGAGGAAGCUGCGGCUGCUUCCCCUUCCUGGAAUCUUUCAUCGAUUCUUUUAUAGCUUUUCCCUUGGACUUGUCAGUCUUCUUCCCCAUCUUCACAUGCAUCACCAUGGGGCGUGUAAGAGGAGGAGGAGAAAACUACUAUAACACUUAAAGUUGCUUACUUCAGAUGAUGGUGGCGGCGGCGACGACGCAAGUGGCGGCGUUAGGGUUUUGUCAAGAUGGAGAAUGACAUAUGCGAAUGGCUGGAAGCAUAAACAAUGGAGGCUACCGGCCUUAUCUUUUAUAACAGCGCAACGGAUCUAAAACAGCUCCACGAUUCUAGGAACACAGCCGGUAAUCUCGCAACGGUCUGAUACUCUCAAGAUUUAUCUUGAUAUUGAAGUCCAACGGUCACGUUGAUCAUGAUUGACCCCUUCAUCACCUGGAAGUAAUCGAUCAAGUGCUCGAGGGCUGCAUACACCUCGCCUGUUGGAUAAAAAUUUCUUUUUCUUCAGGGAUUAAGGAAAGACGAAGCAAAUUCAGUUUGACCCUCAGCCUGAUUCUUCGAUUCAACCUAAGGCUCGGGGGCUACUCCAUAUGAAGUGCGAUUUUCGUCGCACUUCCAUAUUAAGGCUUGAAGACAAACUACUCAAAACCAAUGUCAGAAUGGGGCAGGAGUACCUUCCAGCCGCAUGAUAGCAUUCGAGUACUCGAAGACUAGCCACGACAGAAGUACUCAACGAGCACCAAAGACUAGUCGAGCAACGUCUGCUGAGUACUCGGAACUGUUUCAUUUGACUACAAAGUACUCGUGGUCUUGGCGACCAUACAUCCCCGAGCCCACCAGAAGAUCUGUACGGACCCACUCAAGGGGAUGUACUCGAGACGUAUCAGAACAUGAGGACUACGCUACAGGGCAAUGUAGACUACAUGGAACUUCUGAAGGACUAGUCGGAAUACAAGGAAACUACUCUGCCAAGUUAGAGUAGGACUCUGUAAUCUUGUCCGACUAGUACUCUUGUACCAAAGACUACCAUAUAACCCUGCUCCCCCGAUAUAUAAGGGCGGGCAGGGACCCCCUCAAAACAAGUUCAAUCGAAUACAAGCAUACAACACACAGGAUGUAGGGUAUUAUGCGAUCUAGCGGCCCGAACCUAUCUAAAUCGUGUCCCUGCGUCACCAUCGACUACUUCAUUUCAGCGACACCCACCAACCAAAACACUAUCUCGGGUACUCCCUUGAUAGGUUGCUGGGUUAAAACACCGAUAAAUACCUACCAACUCCAUGAGGAGGUCAGAAAAGGGGGUUUUUGGAGCACCUCUUGAGGUAUUCCAAAAAAACGUGGAUCUACCCCCUGCUCCACCUUUUUCCUGGAGCCGCAGUUGCUGGAGCUAGACGCGUUUGGCUGCGAAAUUUUUAGAGUUGGUGAAGUAAAGCAAUUUUUUCUGAAGUAAAGUGUUGUCAAACAGUAAGACCUACUGUACAUCGAUGCAAAAUUUACCCGAUCGCUUAUAACUUUCUAUCCCGCCAUUGCUGUUAUUAGUAGUAGUUUUUAACUAAUACUAGUAUGCCACAGUUACGUACGGCGUCAAAACGGACGGCAACAUCUCUCGGUGAUCCCAUCAACCCGCCCACGCCGCCACAGGGCCGCGCCCCGCACCGCAAGCUCGCGGGAUUCGGGCGCCGCGCGCCGUCCGUGCCCACGCAUGGGGAGCUCAGCAAGUUCUCCUACUCUGCCUGUCUGCCUGCUCUCCCGCCCGUUCGACGACAACGCCCCCGUGAACGGCUCGCUGGUUCUCGGCGACGGUGGCGGUGGCAAAAGCCGUCGGGAUGCAGUACGUCCCGGCCCUUUGGUCAAGAGCGCGGCCGGCGACAUGGCCCUGACCGGCGUGGUAGUGCAGGAAGGCCGUGCGGCUGCCGGAGCGGGCGUUCUCCGCCAAAUGCCUGCGGAGCGCGGGGGGCGCCAUCGUGGACUCCGGCACGACAUUCGCGUACCUGGACCCGAAGGUGUUCCAGGCGGAACUGCUCCUGCCUCCGCGCCCGUGCGCCCGACGUCAGACGCAGCGGCCUCCACGGGCACCGCGCCCUGGCGAGCGCCCCGAGCCACCUCCGGAGCAGGGGAGACCCCAGACACGGAACCUGCGCGACAAGCCGGCGUACCAGGUUCGGGUCGGCCGGCUGCUUGGCCGCUUAGGCUUGGGUUGGGUAUGCGCUCGACAUCGACGGUUUCAAUUUUCAAUGGUAUACAGAAAAUCUUCUCAUCGAUUAAGCAGUCUACAAGAAAUCACAAAACAAAGCAAUCGCUAGGCAGCAUAGCAUCAGGCAUCGUUAGCAACGUAAACAGCUCGUCCUCCGGCUGCUGUCCUGAGAAACAGGCAGCCAGAGAGACACGUCCACACAUCACUCGCGUCUCGUUCUUCAGAGGAACCUGUCGAGGUACUCGUCGACGGUGGUGUACUUGACGUCCGGGUACAGCUCGCUCGCGUCCACCCCCUUCGCCGGGUCGAUCUCGAAGCCGGCCUGCUCCCCCAUCACGUACGACGCGUGCCCGAUCGCCAGGAUGAUGUUCAGCGGCAUCGCCGACUCUGCACAUCCACGCAAUUAUUUGCCAUGUCAAUUAGCCAAACACACACGUUCCAAACGCUCCCACAGCUCCUCUCCCCGGCGGAGCCAAACGCACUGGCUGACCUUGGAUCUGCUUGAGCACGGCUUCCUCGGGGAUGUACACCCGCUCGAACGCCUUGCCGGUCUUCUUCUCCCACAGCGACAGGAGCUCGUUGUGCGACAGCGUGUUGGCCGGCGGCCUGACGUACAGCGUCCGGUUCUCGGCGCGCGGGUCGCCGGCGGCCAGCACCGUGUACGUCCCGAUGUCGCCUUCCUCCACGAACACGGCCUUGGCGUUGCCGUCGCCGAGGACGAUCGCCUUGUCCGUAGGCGCCGCCGGGGAGAGGAGCUGCCCGAUGGUCGGGAGCGCGUACCCCGCGAAGUACCCGGCCACGGCGUAGGUGUAGGGGAUCCCCGCGGCCUCGGUGGCGCGGCGGAUCGCCGCCUUGCCGGACAGGAUGGUCUUGGCCGGUUCCACGACGCCCGUCCGGUCCACGUCCAGGCCGAACUCCGAUGGGAAGAACCUCUGCACACACAACGACCAUCUAGCUAGUGAGAAUGCGUGUCCAGGGAUUGACAAAUGGAUGGACGGUGAGAACGAGAGCGAGGAGCCGAGGACCUUGACGUUGCCGGCCUCCUUGAUGGCGUCGAUGAGCCUGGUCUGGUCGGCGAUCUGCUGCGACCCGACGGUGGAGAUGACCACGUCGGCGGACUUGACGGCGCUCACCAGGCUGGCGUGGUCGUAGAGGUCGCCCUUGAGGAGCGUCACGCCGGCGUCCUGGAAGCUCUUGAGCAGCGCCGCCUUGGCCGGAUUGGACGGCGCCGUGUCCCUGACGAGCGCGAAGGUCGGGUGGCCCAGCCGCGCGCUCGCCGCCACGACGUGCCUGCCCAGGUACCCGGUGGCGCCGACCACCAGGAUCUUGCUCUUCUCCGACGCCAUCCUGUGUCACUACCCGACAGAACCUCAGAAACUCGCUUGGCGUCUGAUUGGCAUCCAGCGCCACUGUAUAUAAUGGUCUGAUCGAGUAUCACAUUCACAGCUGGUUCCAUCGAUAUUUUGUUUCGUCGACUGAUGGUUGUGGUGAAGCGUGAACCUGGUUGUGUUUCCGGACUUGGACAUUAUGGGCCGAAACCUUGGUGUCGUCAUUGUUCAAGGAUGACGACAUUUGUGUUUGGCCUACUUUUUCGGAAUUGCUAUAUUGUGCCCGAGUAUCUUGCUCUCUUCCACCCACUUCAAAACUUUUCUCUUCGCCCUAUCACCAAUUCUAGCGAGAUUUUCUGUCUCCUCCGCCUCCGUUGUGUUAGCGAUAUCGGGAUAUUUUUACAACACGGUUGGAAAUCUGGGGAUGAACAAAAAUUUAUGUAAGAAGAAAUAAAAAAGAGAAAUCGGUGCAUGAAGAGAAAUUUUAAAUUACCAUUGUGGGCUUGUGGACACGGACGGGGAGUGGAUGCUCUUUUUAAACUUGGAUGUGGUUAGAGUUGGACCAAUUUUAUGCCUAAAGCAGUGGUCAUUUUUUUCAUUUCUUUCUCUCCUCUGCACUGGGAAAUUAUUCCACUAACAAAGACAACAUUGAGUAGAGUUCAUCAACAAAAAUGGCAAAAUUUGAUAAUGUUUAGUAGUCAGGCGUCUUCAACUAAGGUAACUUCCCGUCAACUGUGGCCGAGUCCAUGGUCGGCAAAAGCAAAAUUUGGCCAGAUCCGCUCAGCCUAAUUUGGAAUUCUGGAUAGAGCUUGGGGGCUAAUGAUGAGUGAUGAUAAUGAAAUAAGCGUCAAAGAAAGGUUUUAGAUUGCUCAAUUCAAGAUCAAGUUCGUACUGUCGAGUCUUAUUAGCAUACACAUCAUCCCGACGAAUUGAUCUACUUGUAUACGAGUAGGAGUUCAUAACCGACUACGACAACAAAAGUGGUUCUCGAUCGGUAUAUGUACGCAUCAUGGGGCGAUGUACGAGACACAUAAGCUUUUGGGCUUUUGGGUUGCAUCUUGACCUAAAUACCAAAUUGUUUGUGCUCACGGUAAUAGAAAAAACUCUUAUACUCAAAUCAUGAGGCCUGAACCUGUAUAAAUCGCCCGCGUGCUAUUCCGGUUCUUGACGCAUCUUAAUAUUGAUCGUGAUCUUAUAUUGACACAUCAUUCCUUGUCGACUUAGAUCACCAAUCCUUGACAAUUUAAAUUACCAAAAAUGAUGAAAAUUACAAGGUGCAUAUUGUUCUCGUCUCGUCCUUCAGAGGAACCUGUUGAGGUACUCGUCGACGGUGGUGUACUUAACGUCCGGGUACAGCUCGCUUGCGUCCACCCCCUUGGCCGGGUCGAUCUCGAAGCCGGCCUCCUCCUCCCCCUUCACGUACGCCGCGUGCCCGAUCGCCAAGAUCAUGUUCAGCGGCAUCGCCGCCUCUUCAGCUGAAUGAAAUGAAUUGCAUAUUUUAAUUAACCACGCAUCCACAGUGAUAUAGAUUCAGAUGUUAUCCCCCGACAGUCCGACACCAUGAUCGAUCGAGCCAACAAGGCACUGACCUUCUUGGGUCUGCUUGAGCACGGCGUCCACGGGGAUGUACUCCCGCUGCAACGCCUUGCCGGUCUUCUUCUCCCACAGCGACAGAAGCUCGUCGCGCGACAGCGUGUUGGCCGGCGGCCUGAUGUGCAGCGUCUUGUUCUCGGCGCGCGGGUUGCCGGCGGCCAGCACCGUGUUCGUCGCGAUGUCCCCCUCGUCCACGAACGGCACUCUGGUGUCGCCGUCGCCGAGGAUGACGGCCUUGUCCUCUCCCUGCCCGAUCCCGAUGGAGGGGAGCGCGAGGGCUGCCAAGUACCCGGCGACGGCGUAGGUGUAGGGGAUGCCCACGGCCUCGGUGGCGCGGCGGACGGCGGCCUUGCCGGACAAGAGGGACUUGUGCGGCUCCACGUCCACGACGCCCGUCCGCGCCACGUCCAGGCCGAACUCCGCCGGGUCCUCAGGGGUGUUUGGAUACACCACCUAAAGUUUAGCAUGUGUCACAUCGGAUCUUUGGAUAGUAAUUAUGAGUAUUAAACAUAGUUUAAUUAUAAAACUAAUUGCACAGAUGGAGUCUAAUUCGCGAUAUGAAUCUAUUAAGGGCCUGUUUGGACGCGAGGUCAUAAAGUUUAUGACAUGUCACAUCGGAUGUUUAGAUACUGAUUAGAAGUAUUAAAUAUAAUCUAAUUACAAAACUAAUUACACAUAUGGAGUCUAAUUUGCGAGACGAAUCUAUUAAGCCUAAUUAGUCCAUGAUUUGACAAUGUGGUGCUACAGUAACCAUUUGCUAAUGAUGGAUUAAUUAGGCUUAAUAGAUUCGUCUCGCGAAUUAGUUUUAUAAUUAGCUCAUGUUUAGUCCUCCUAAUUAGCGUCCGAACAUCCGAUGUGACCCCUCCUAAAGUUUAGUACCUUGUAUCCAAACACCCCCUAAGCCUAAUUGGUCCAUGAUUUGACAAUAUGGUGCUAUAAUAACCAUUUGCUAAUGAUGGAUUAAUUAGGCUUAAUAGAUUCGUCUCACGAAUUAGCUCAGUAGUUCUGCAAUUAGUUUUAUAAUUAGCUCACAUUUAGUCCUCCUAAUUAGCAUCCGAACAUCCUAUGUGCUAAAGUUUAGCACCUAGUAUCUAAAUAUCACUCUUAGAGAUAAGUAUCCUAGGUUGUUUACGAACAGAAGUUAAGUAAGAAUGGAUUCUAUCCAUAAGGAUCCAAUCCGAGUUGUCUUAGUCAUGAAGUCAAAGAUUCCCGAUAUAAUUGAGGGAUAUGGACUCAUUGAAAAUAAAAAAGAAAGCAAUUAUAUUUCCCUCGAUCACUCUCCCUUUGUUCAAGCGCUGCAACCCCCCCCCCCCCCCCCCCCCCCCAACACACACACACACACCCACACACCACAAACUAGGACUGUAACAUGGUGGAGGAGCGAGCGUCGAUAAGUGGCGCGAGCAAGAGAUGGUGGCAGGCGGUGAUAGGGUUCACAGAGGAGGAAAAAGGCUGCACGCAAGAUCAGACGGCUAAUCUCAAAUAUCGGAAGUCUCUCUUCUUCUGGAAGAUCAUAGGAUCCGGAAGCCGACCGAUCAACCAGGAGAUUACUUAACAAAUGGACCGUCCAUUACAAAAGUCGUGGUACAUACCAAUGCAACAAACUGGAUCACGAAAGGGAUCGGAUCUUAUUGGCGUGGAAUUGACGGGACCUGGCCAGUGCAGGUACCCUCGAUCGAUCAGAGACACAUGGUACUAUCGCGCAUGCUGUGCUUCAGCAGUACAGGUGACAGUAGGCAAAGCACCAACAACCAACCACACGUCACGCGCGCCGUCUUCUUCAAAGGAACCUGUUGAGGUACUCAUCGACGGUGGUGUACUUGACGUCGGGGUACAGCUCGCUUGCGUCCACCCCCUUCGCCGGAUCGAUCUCGAAGCCUGCCUGCUCCCCCCUCACGUACGCCGCGUGCCCGAUCGCCAGGAUGAUGUUCAGCGGCAUCGGCGACUCUGCACCAGAAAGAAACAAUUGUUAACCACGCCAUCGAUUCCACGAUGAUCGAUCGAGGCAGCAAGGCACGUUCUGACCUUGGAUCUGCUUGAGCACGGCUUCCUCGGGGAUGUACACGCGCUCGAACGUCUUGCCGGUCUUCUUCUCCCACAGGUCCACGAGCUCGUUGUGCGACAGCGUGUUGGCCGGCGGCUUGAUGUACAGCGUCUUGUUCUCGGCGCGGGGGUCGUCGGCGGCGAGCACCGUGUACGUCCCGAUGUCGCCUUCCUCCACGAACACGGCCUUGGCGUUGCCGUCGCCGAGGAUGAGCACCUUGUCGGCGGGGGGUCCCUGGGCGAGCAGCUGCCCGACGCUGGGCAGCGCGUAUCCCGCGAAGUACCCGGCCACGGCGAAGGUGUAGGGGAUGCCGGACGCCUCGGUGGCGCGCCGGAUCGCCACCUUGCCGGACAGGAUGGUCUUGCCCGGCUCCACGAUGCCCGUUCUGUCCACGUCCAGCCCGAACUCCGACGGGAAGAACCUCUGCAUAUCCAUCUCAUUUAGCUUUUUAUCUAGUGACAACGAGCAUGCCGGAAGAAAGACAUUGAUGGCGGCAUUCAUGAGAAGGCGCUCAAGCAAGAACAAAUUAAAGAAAAAGGAAGGACCUUGACAUUGCCGGCCUCCUUGAUGGCGUCGAUGAGCCUGGUCUGGUCGGCGAUCUGCAUCGACCCCAGCGUGGAGAUGACCACGUCGGCGGCCUUGACGGCGCUCACCAGGCUGGCCUGGUCGUAGAGGUCGCCCUUGAGGAGCGUCACGCCGGCGUCCUGGAAGCUCUUGAUCAGCGCCGCCUUGGCCGGGUCGGACGGCGCCGUGUCCCUGACGAGCGCGAGGGUCGGGUGGCCCAGCCGCGCGCUCGCCGCGACGACGUGCCGGCCCAGGUACCCGGUGGCGCCGACCACCAGGAUCUUGCUCUUCUCCGACGCCAUCCUGAUUGCUACUUACUGACGAGUGAGCUUGCUAUCAACGAGCUGAUCGGCCUGCCAAGUACUCGCUCAGUCUGCGCUGCAAAUCUCGUCUGCCGUUGGAUUGCCAUCAGACUCCACGAUAUAUAGUGGGGGAGUAGCAACGGGUUCCAUAUACUCGCAUAGUCGCAUCGGUGGUUGCGGCCCAUAGCGAUUAGGUUGGCUUUCUUUUCUGAUUGAUUAGGACACGACGCCUAAAAAAGUCAUGCUACCUCCAUAUAAUCAUGGACGAUUAUUGAUGCAGGCAACACUAGCUAGUGUUUGCCCUGUCAUGCACUCCCUUUCGAUUUUCAGGUUAGGCAAAUGGGGAAUAGGCCACCGUAUGUUAGGCAAGAGCAGUCCCAACCCUCCUCCGAUUAGGAUGGUUUCUAUAGUAUUAAUUGUGCAGCUACAUAGAAUCUUUUGCUUAUGUGAUUAUAUAUUAAAUAAGAGAGAAUUGGAAGAACAAGAAACUGGGUCUCAUGCAAGACUCAGUAUCAGCACGAGAACCUAAAUCCUAGACAGUGUUAAAUUUGCAUUGGAAGAAGAUGGUGUCUUCAUAAUUGAUGAGGAAUUGAGAGGAGAGAUGAUGAAUUAAUUAAGGAUCCACACUAAGAAAUCAUAGGUUGUAGAAUGUAAUUUCUAAAGUGAUGUCUUACUUAUGUGGCAGUAUAGACACACAGAUAUCAUGGGUUGGGACUACCCUAAGCAUAACCUGUCUCCAACUUCUAAUUGAGAGCAUAUCGACAUGCACCAGCACCAAUAUAUUUCUAGUUAUACAUUUUAUGCUCACAUUCAUUGUAUAUACAGUCCUUUUAAUUACUCCCUUGCUGUGUAAUGAAACUGAGAAAGAGAUAAGAUAAAUAAUAGCCUGAUUUGUUGGUGUCCAAAAUUUACCAUACUAAAAUUUGAGUAGACCAAAAUAUAGGGCAUGUUAUAUCAAAACCUAGGCAAGAAUUUUAGAAUAGGACUUAAUUGAUUGCCAACCAAGCGAAUGCCAAAAUUUAUGGACUCGCUCUAGUUUGGCAGGGCAGAUUUUGGGAGCCAACCAAUCGGUCGUCAAUGUUGGUACCGUGUUCUACUCAUCAUAAAGAAAAAUGAGCUUUACCGGUGGUAAAUGCUUCAUUUCGGGAACUUUCUAGCGGUAAUACCCGGACUAGCUUCUAGAAGGCACGCAUGCUAACGUGUCGUGACAAAAGCCGGGGAGCUAAUAAAAUAUCGAGGCCAAUCCCUUUCAAAUCAGACAUUUUAUAGUCAGUUUGUUGGUAGCACCAUCAUCAGGCAUCAGCUCGCACUGCCGGGUGCCUGAUUGCUUGGCCCACCCCCACUACUGGCUGUGUGUGAUGAUUGGUGGAUACGUUGUUCUCUGGCGUUGCCAGUGAACCCACCACUCGAGAGGGUACAGGCAAACCUUAUUCACAUCUAAAUUUAAAUAAUUAAUAUUCAUUUUUUACUCUCUCCGAGGUGGAUAAUUAACUUUGUUAUAUAUAUAUAUAUAUAUAUAUAUAUAUAUAUAUAUAUAUAUAUAUAUCCAAUUGAUUAAUUGUACCUUAUUCUAUUCAUUUCUAAUGAGUAUAUAAUUUUCUACCCACACCCUCCUCAUUUGAAGUAGGUGUGGAUUUGGGGAGAGGGAAGCGGCACGUCUAGCUGCUAGUGCACCCGGAUAGUGACGUGAAUUGUUUUUUUUCCGAUCUUUUUUAAUUUUGGUCUUAAGAAAGAUUUUUAAUUUUAAUUACCAGUUCAAGUACACUUUCACACCCCGCACCCGGACGUGGUUGAUUUCUCGUCCUGGCGUCCCCGAUGAACCUGGCCAAGUUCCCGGCCAAGUGGUUCAGUCGACAUGUUCGUUGAACCAAAGACUGGCCGUCCUGGAACUUGCGAUUGAGAUCGAGUACAAAGGUCCAUCGCAAGCCUGCAGAUCGGUCGGAUCGUGGGUCAUUUUCGGCUUAGGAUCGGAAUCGACCGAUCAUCACUCGGUAACUAGCUAGAGUCACGAUCUCGCGCCAAUAAGCAUCUGUGCGUAGAUUCUUUGGCCAUUGGUGUCUCACCUAACGCCGUCGACAGUGUGACGACGGUGGAGGUUCGUAGAUUCUUUUUCACACCUGAUUCUUUUCUUUUUCAGUAGUAAUUUGCGCGCGCUUGGGCGCGCGUAGAGCUUACGACUUCUAUUGAUAAGCAUAAACUAUUAUUGGAAUAUAAAAAAAUAUUUAAAAUAAAAAAGACACAUUUGGUUAAGCUACAUCUUAAGUGUAUCGUUCAUUUAUCACGCGGAAAUUGGAAACUUCAGAAAUCAAAAUCCACAAGAGUCGUUGGUUUUAGUUUUUUUUUACUAAACACAUAAACCAAGAUUUUACAUAGUAAGCAAACAACGGUAUGGAGCGAAACUUUCGCAUCUACAUAAGCAAUUCAGAUCCACCAAACCAGAAGAAAAAAAGUGCAAUGGCGAUGUCCAGAAGCUCAGGAGACGAGAGGAGGCAACAGCCGGCAAAGGAGGAGGCUAGGCCGAUCGGCCUGACCUCCCCAUGCCUAUCGGCACCACCCCCUCCUUUGGCCGCCACCUUCACCCUUCACAUGGAAGCCAAGAGGUGCGAGUGGAGUCCGAAAACUCCGCCAAGGACCGCUCGUAAUGCUCGCAUCACGUUGGAGGCAAGACGCCAUCUGGAAAGCUCGCAGAUCGCAAGUUCAUCGUCCUCUCAAGUGAUGAUGAAGCAUAUAAGAAGAAGAAGGAGAUUGUUGUCGCUCCCACAAGGCGUUCAGCAAGGUUCCUCGGGAUCAAGCGCAAGAGCUAUGUGAAGAACACGUCCGAGUACUCGCCGGCUGACUAUGGAGGUGAUAGCGAUUGGGAGGACGAUAUGAGCCCCAGAUCGUGGGGUGCUGCAGGCCAUGAUGAUGAAGAAGAUGACAACACGUACUGGGAUUGGGGUGAAGAUAAGAAGAAGAGCAAGGAGCAAGAUGGCUACCAUCAAGAUAAGGGCAAAAAAAAAAGAUCUCGAAGACGACGAGCCAAAACCAGAGGAGCAUGAACUAGACGAGCAUUAUCAUACGUGUUGUACCGCUUGUAAGAAGAACAUCCAUUACCUCUUCAACACUAUCGGCGACAUCAUGGAAGCCUUGUAAGGUCUGGAUCAGAAGGUAGAAGACAAUGAUCGUUGUCAGGAGGAUGACUUCAAGUUCUUGUAGAGGAACAUGAGAAAGCUCUUCGGGAUAUGUGGCAACAAGAGGAAGAAUAGAGCUCAUGACGAAGGAAGCAGCAACCAUCCGGUAUGCAAGCAGUGCGGGUAGCGUCACUAGUGUGUUUGCAAGCGCCUUUCCCUUUGUACUUCAUGUGGCUACGAUGAGGACGUCAUAGAUUUUAAGCGUGGGGUGGGGGGAGAUCAUCACUUGUACAAGUUUUUGGAUCUAGUUUGGUCGAGUCGAGUCGUGUGAGAGUCUAAAUUAGUGUUUUUAUUUUAAUUAAAAGUAGAUAAAGUAGUAGUCUUCUUAAGCUUCUGGGAAGACUUAGGACUAGAUCGCAACUUUAGCGUCUUUGUGAGAAGAAGCAUGAAUAAAAUUUGAGGAUGGUGCGAGUGUUUUUAGUGUCUACCUUAGCUUGCUUGUCUUUAUUUUGUCUGUGCAACUUUGUAUCAUGAGCAUUAUCCUGAAUUCUAAAUCUCUGUUGUGGAAUUGAGUAAUCGGUUUGUUUAUACAAUACCCAUGCUUUAUGAUGAUCAAGUGCUUUGGUUUUGAUUAUGCUUUAUGAGUAAGACUUGAAUUGGAGGUGACUCAAAAUUUUAUUGCUUAUCUAAAACCUCUGUAAAAACAAGAUUGAUCAAGAUCUUUUAACCAGAUUGAGAGUUAUUAUUUAUGCUACCCAAUGCCUUGAAAGAUUUAUUUGUACCACCAAAAGCAAGAUUUGACGCUUUGAAUUGAGUUAGGAUCGUUCUCUCUUGGUUUGCUUUAAUUCUGAGCACCGAUCAUAUCCUUUUUACCAUCUCUGAUUGCUAGGCUCGUCAAUAUUCAGUAAUGAGAUUUCUUCACUGGAACAAUCAUAUUUUCUACUGAAUUCCUAAACCUGAAUCAUAAAUUUCCCAAUUUUAUUACCUAUUCCUUGAACACAACCCAAUAUACACAGAUCUGUUUUAUUUCUGGUCAAGUUUUAUGAAAAAUAAGGAAAGAUACAAGAUAAGGAAGCUUCACCAGAAAGAUAAGCCAAAGGGGAGGAAAGGAGAGGCUAGGCCGAUCGGCCUGGUCCCCUCCAGGCCAAUCAACAUGGGGCUCCUUUGCCUCGGUUCACGCGUAGAAAAAUUGUGGAAAGCCUCUGGAAGGAUCUAAAACUAAUUUUUAUGGUGUGGUGUUUAGAGGAGGUUCGGAGAAAGAGAUGAAAAAUGAAAGAAAGAAAGAAAGGAAAGAAAGAGAAAACAUAUUGAGAAAAAGAAAAUGAAAUAAUAGUGAAAAGGAAGAAAGAAAUAAAGGAGGAGUUUUUACUGUCAUGAAGAUCAAGAGAAGUGCAAAGAAAUAUGACAUUAUUUUUGGAACGGAUUUUCAUUCCAACCAUGUGCAAUCCGAUGAUGAGGACAUCGCUUGUGCCUCAGAGUCACUAUUUUAUUUGCCUUUGCACAUGUCCACCAUUCUAUAUCUUCUCAUCCUUGAAAACCUCAUAUUAUAUGGAUAUUCUUUUGAUCAUUGGCUCAGAAGGUAGGCAACCGUUAGAGAGUUUUCUUAAUUCUAUAUUACAAGUGU